AACAAGGAAGUAUAUAUUAGGGAAUUAAUAGGCGGGAAUUUUUGCAGAAGCACCAAAUGGAUUUUGUGGAAUGGGAAAUCGAGCAUCUUCCUAUGCUGCCAAGGUUCUAUCUAGAGAGGUACCUUUUUGGAUUGAUUGGUCUAAGUCUUUUUUUUAGAAGAAUUUUUUCAUUGUGUCAGGAACACGGUUCGAUACAUCAGGUGUUAUACUACUAUUGAUUGAAGUUUUUUUUGUUUCAAGUUUUCAACUAGUUGUGUUGUUACAGUUUAUGUACUGUUGCGCGUUCAUGGCACAUAACAAAGAUUGAUUGAGGGAGAAGGGAGGGAGAGCGAGAUUUUGGCAUAAGAACCAGGUUAUUCUUUUAGGUUUCCGUUAUAUGCUCUGAUUGGAUCAAAACAGAUUUUGAUUGAUUUUAUUUUUAAUUGAACAUUUUUUUUAACAAACGAUAGUUAAUUAAUUGCCCUUUCUAGAAUUGAGGCAAAUGUGAAACCCAUCUCAUAUUUUGCCUCAAUAUUAGAAGACAACCAAGGUAUACAUUGGGUCACUUUCUCUACCCAUGUGAGAUCAUGUGAGAAACGAUAGUAACACAAUCGGAAUAUGUAACAGUAACAUCAUCGUUUUUUUUUAUUCUUAUUUUUUUGUCGCAAGUUGAAGAUUUUGAGAAUCAAAAGGUAAUGAUAAGAAUUCUACAAUAAUAUGAGAAGAAGAGAGAGUGACAAGAUGGAGAUAAACAACGGCCACACCAAUUUUUUUUUUUUGGCAUAAUAGGAACAAAUAUUUCAAAAGCUUAGUUGGGCGUCCGAGAUAAUGAUAAUAAUAGUGAGAGCGCACGAUGGAGAUAUGCAAUUGUGGACCAAAAAUAUUUUGGAUAACAAGAUCGGAGGUUUUGAAAGCUGAAGUGACAUUCGAAGCAAUGCUGUAAUAACGUAAAGUUACUGAAAAGUAAACUAGCAUUAUUACUUGUAUAAUGUAAUUAUUGUGCAGCCUGUAUCUGAAAGAGAUCCUCUUAGGAUCUUUCCCGUCAAAGACCAUGAAUUAAGUGAUUCGGAUCUUUAAAUUUUAAUUUAACGGUAAAAAAAUUAUUAUAACUUUUAAAUUUUUUUACUAGCUUAUCUGUUUUUAAUCAUUUGAUCAAAUUUUAAAAGUUUGAAUCACUUGAUUCUUGAACUUUGAAAGACAAGAUCCGGAAAUGAUGUAUUUCCAUCCGCAUCCAUCCAUCCUUUUCUUGAUUCAUUUUUAACACAAAAUCCAAAAAUCCUUUUGACUCAAGAUUCCAAAAUCCCGAAAAGUUAGUGGCAUGCGAGUAACUUUAUGAGAGAGAUUUUCUUAACAAAUCGUGCUCCCUAGUCCCUAGUAGUACUUGGUACGUUGAAUACAAGUCAGCCUUAUUUGGGCUUUAUUCGAAAUACUGGUUAAAGUGGGAGCUCGGCGUAAUACGCACAGUCCAAUGAGCCCAACUAUAUUUAGAACUUCACUUUAUGUUUGUGACCAAUGGAUAUCAGAGCUAUUCGACCAGCUGUGCAAGGAUAGGGCAAGUUCAAAAACGGUUAUUGUUAACUCUGUCUGUCGGGCGAUUACUAUUUACAAAUAUAUAUUUUUUUUUAAAUCUUUUUUCACAUUUGUUGUACUUUUAUCUUAUUUUUUGUGAACGGGUCAUGAGCAACACACAUCAAAGCCUCAUAUAAAACUUCUUCUCCGACCAAUUGGACCUAUCACUCUUUUUUUUUUUAAUAACAAAAGGUUUUGAAAAGUGAAAACAAAUAUAGGAGUUUCUAGGAAAAAUAAAUAUUGAGUUGUUGUGUGGCGAAUUAACAAAAUGGUUGGGAAUUUAAAAUUACAAAAAUUACAAAUUUUCUAUUUUUCAUUCUUUUUUUUUCUUCCAUUUUUACAUGUCUGAUUAAUCCAGAAUUUGAUUUUUCUUAUUGUUGAAUUCGACAUACCAGAAAGCUCUACGUGGACUAACGAUAAGAAUUUUUAAAUUUGUUUACCAUUUAAAUUCAACAUUGCAGAUCAUCAUACUAUUGAAAUCCAAAAAAUCUCAUCGCACCACGUCAUAGAGCAAUUGGCUCUUCCAUUGGGAACCGGAUCCCCCUUGAAUCCCCAAAAACUGGGCAUGUUGAGCAAAAAAUCCUAGGCUGUUGAAAUUUGAUCUAAUGGUUACAGACAAGAGGUUCUUUAAAAGUUAUAAUAAUUGUAACCGUUGGAUUAAAUUUCAAGAGUCCUGAUUUAUUGUUCAGCAUGCUUAGUUUCUGAUCUGGAGAGGAUCCGGUUCCCUUCCAUUGGAGCUGCUGCAACGGGCCCACGCCAGCCGGCCUUGUUUGCUCCACGCCCUUGUUCCGCGAGUGCGUUGCAACAGUAAAUUAUAAUUUCUGGAAAAAUAGCUUUAACUAUUAACUUUGAGACGACAGAGCGCAUCAACGGUUAUGGUACUUCGUCCAAGAAUUUAUCACAUCAGCCUCGUCCGAUCCGCCACGUAAGCAGUCAUAGAUUAAACUCCGUACACACAUCACACCGGAACGACGCUCUUUUUCUCACCUUCGACAAACAUUUAUCACAGCCUCACAGGUAGGUAGUAGGUAGUAGGUAGUAGGUACUAGAGUUAUCGGCUAGUCCGUGCAGUAGCUCUUCCACUUCUUCUCUCUCCGUGCUCCGCCAGUAAGCUCCUUACAGCUCCAUCAAUGGCGUCCGUACUCAAUAUGGUGUCGUCUAUUAGCCUAUCGAACCUCAACGCCAACCGAGUUCCGACUCAGUCCGCCUUCGCGCCGGUUUCGGUUUCGUUUACCAGUGAGUCCACUUGCUGUUACGCUCCGUUUGGUUGCCGAGAAAUUCAAAUUCCCGAUGAACAGCGUUCGAAUUGCUUUUCUAUCUUCCAAUUCAAUUGUUCCUAAUUUAAUUUAACUUCGGUUUAAUUUUCCUUCAGCAAUCUAUUGACAAGUGAGAUUUAUUGGUUGAGAUUUCUAAAAUUUUUGACAUUUUUGAAAUUUUCAGGAAGGAGGCUUACGGUUAGGGCUGCGGAGACCGAUACCAACGAAGGUUUUUAAUGAUAUUAAACUAUAAAGAUUCUACAUUUCGAUUUGUUUUAGUCAAAUUUGAUAGAAUUAAAGUGGAUUAUAAUGAGAUUUUGGUUUAGCAGUUGAAUCUUCAGUGCCGGAUAAGGCACCGGCUAAAGCCGGCUCGAGCGUCAAUCAGCUUCUUGGGAUUAAAGGAGCUUCUCAAGAAACUGUAAGUCAUCAAUGUUAGUUUAGUAUACAAGUUCAAAGCUUGAGUACCUUCUCUCUAUGUGCGUUGGUGUUUUUGCAUAAUGUGGGUUUCCUCAGAUGAUGCUAGAAGUUAAUAUGCUUUUUUUAGUGGAUAUUAAGUUGAUAGGAUCAUAGUGGCAAGAAAUGUGAGACAGGAGUUGAUCUGUGAGUUAAACUGUGCAGAACAAGUGGAAGAUUCGUCUUCAGCUGACAAAGCCUGUAACUUGGCCUCCACUGGUAUGGGGAGUAGUUUGCGGAGCUGCUGCUUCUGGUAUGCUCGUCUGCAAAAGUGGUCAAUGAAAUUUUUUUUCAUUCUUGUAAAAUGUAGGAGAUCCGAAUCAUGUUCUGAAAAUUCCAAGAUAAAACCAACUCCGAAAUUUCUGAUAAAUUUCGAUAAUCCUAAAUUCCAAAAUUGGAACAAAUAUUUGAUUCCGGAAAGGUUUUUGGAUUGGCAUUGGAAUGCUUGUUUCUGAUCGGAUCUGACCGAAAAUCACCCCUAUAUGCUUAUCCUCUGUCCAUGAAUUGCUUUUGAGGAAAUUUUUCAUGUUGCAGGAAAUUUUCAUUGGACUUUUGAGGAUGUUGCUAAAUCAAUAAUGUGCAUGUGUAUGUCUGGCCCUUUGCUCACUGGCUAUACCCAGGUAUGAUUUACUUGGGAUGGAAAGUUGAUUUCGGUUUUUGGUUUUGUUUGAUGAGAUCUUUAUAGUCCAAUAAUUCCAUGGCCUUUUCUUUAGACACUAAAUGACUGGUAUGACCGAGAGAUCGAUGCAAUUAAUGAACCUUAUCGUCCAAUUCCCUCAGGGGCAAUAUCUGAGAAUGAGGUAAGGGUACUAGCUGUAUUUUGCUUUAUUGUAUAAAAAUUCUUUGGUGAAGAUUGCAUUUUCAAUCUGGUUCUUUGUUUUUCUUCAGGUUAUUACUCAAAUCUGGGUGCUGCUUUUAGGAGGCCUUAGUUUCGCUGGCAUAUUAGAUGUGUGGGUAAGUAUUCGCAUGAUGGACUGGCUCUUUCUUACACCUUCAAAUAUUUAGAUCAGAUGUCAAUCAUGAAUAGCUGUCCUUUUCAGGCAGGACAUAAAUUCCCAAUAUUAUUUUACCUUGCUGUGGGUGGAUCCUUGCUAUCGUACAUUUAUUCCGCUCCACCUUUAAAGGUAGUUUUUUCCCCCCACCUAUCACAAAUCAAACGAAUUGCUUAGUUUGAUGUUCGAGAAGAAACUUUGCUUAAGCCUUGACUGUGCUUCAUGGGUUAUUGCUUGCAGCUGAAACAAAACGGAUGGAUUGGAAAUUUUGCCCUGGGUGCAAGUUAUAUCAGUUUGCCAUGGUGCGUAUUCCCUGCCUUAUCUUUCUUUUGUGAACUUACAAGAAUUAGAUCUUUCAUAUAAAGGGUCAAGAACUCUUGAUUCAGGGAUCCUUCUGUAAUUCAGAUUGAUAUUAAUUGUAUAAGAAAUGCAUUGAAUUAAUUGUUUAUUAUCUUUCCUCGCUCACGUAAUUGGAUACUUCUUAGGAGUCUUGUUAUAACAGUCUUAAAGUCUAUUCAAGAACCGCGACCAAUAAAUUCAUAUGAUUUGGUUGAAUGUUAGAAACUGUUUUGAUGUCCAUAGUGCUGGGUAAUGGAUUUCAGUUCAAUCUCUUAUUGAUAGGUGGGCUGGUCAGGCAUUAUUUGGGACCCUUACGCCCGACAUAAUCGUCCUCACACUCUUGUACAGCAUAGCUGGGGUAUGUAUCUGAAAGAAGCAUCUUAACAUGUGCUUACAUAGCAUGCUCCAGUCCAACUGACUGCAUAUUUAUUCUUCCCACAUUUCAGUUGGGAAUUGCUAUUGUAAACGACUUUAAAAGUGUUGAAGGAGAUAGAGCACUGGGGCUUCAGGUUUUAAUCUUCUCUAUUACAAUACUGUUAACAAUCUUAGUUGCAGCAAACGUAACAUUAUUUGUGGCAAUCCUGUUUGCAGUCACUCCCUGUAGCUUUUGGUUCUGAAACUGCCAAAUGGAUUUGUGUUGGCGCCAUUGACAUCACUCAGUUAUCGGUCGCUGGUAUGUUAUCUUCGUUAAGCAGACCGUUGAAGCUGAUUGCUUGAUUAUCUGACCUUUGGAUUGUGUUGUUUAUGAUAGUUCCGAUCGUCCUGUGAUAGUUUCGAAUACAAAUUAGAGUUAAUCGUACAAAUGAAGACGAUUCAUCGUGCCGUCUAUUGACUGGUUUGCAGGUUAUCUGCUAGCGGCUGGUAAACCAUAUUAUGCAUUAGCUCUCCUUGCUUUGAUAGCUCCCCAAGUCUUUUUCCAGGUACAUCUCUUUUUCAAAGACUGUUGAUUCUGCUGAAUGGUGACCGUAAUCUUAUGCUAAUUUUAUAUUAAAUCUUAAAUGUUUCUCUUCCCGGUUUUAUAAGACAGAUUUUGAUAGACAUCAUAGCUCAUAAGUACUUUGUUUAUGCAAUUUGUGCUGUGCAGUUCAAGUACUUUCUCAAAGACCCUGUCAAGUACGAUGUUAAAUAUCAGGUAUUCUUUCAAGAGGCUACAUUGCCCUUCUAAAUGGCUCAGAUUCAUCCGUUAAUUCCAUUAGAUUCUUGAGCGCAUGUUCAGCCGUUAAAUUCCGCAAUUUAUGUUAUCCAUUGAUAUGCUCUAGGAUUUUCAUUCCUUCAAACCCCUACUUAAAUAUCCAAUUUUGUACCAUCGAAGAAUGAGAUAUUGAAAUUUGCUCUGCGUGUGUUCCAGGCGAGUGCGCAGCCGUUUCUUGUGCUCGGUCUUUUAGUGACAGCGUUGGCGACAAGUCAUUAACAUUUUGAAGCACUUGAGCAAAGGAUGUGAAGAAAAGAGAGAGAGAUCGAAAUUACAGGACCACCUGGUACAGUGCUAUGCUAGUCAGGUAGAAGUAUCAAUGUCAAAGUAUGUCUUCUUCACUUGUAGUAGCAAAGUUAUGUUGACGCCGACGAUUAAGAAUUAUCAUCUGUUUUUGGUUAGUGCCUUCUCAAAUGGAGGUAGCUGCUGUAAAUAUCCCAAACACAACUUAGGCCUUCUUCGGUAGCACUGUCUCUUGCUUCUCCCAAUCCCCCAUGCGGCGCCGAUGAUGGUAGCUGUAUAGCUGGACAAGCCCAGGUUUAGAUACAAAGAGGACGCGGCGUGUGUUUGAUUUCCGACGCUGAAAACAUACUUGGACAACAAGCACUCUUACUACAACCACAUACCAAGGACAAAGACAGUAUACACCGUGCACUCCUACAACCCUAGUGAAACCAAACUUCGUAACCCUAAUAAAACUUAGAAAACCCUAAUAACAAAAACUACAAGUCGGAUGCCUUGAGCUUGGAAGCACUGGUUAACGAUCCAUAUUAGCGGCUCUUCGUUUUGUACUUGGACUCGUUAAUCUCGAUGCCUUCCUCGGCAGCACGCUCUCCUCCCGACUUGUUCUUGGUGCUGAGCCCGCCCUUUUUGCCCAUCUCCUGGUACCCUUCCUGUCCAAUCUGCUCCUUCCUCAUUUCGCCUCCAUGGCGACCCAUUUCCUGGUACCCCUCAUGUCCGAGCUGCUUCUUACUUGCCUCGCCUCUGCGGUGGCCCAUGUCCCGGUACCCUUCAUGACCAAGCUGCUCCUUCCUCGCCUCGCCUCUGCGGUGACCUAUCUCCCCGUACCCUUCACUUCCCAGCUGCUCCUUCCUUGUCUCGCCUCCACGGUGGCACAUCUCCAUGUACCCUUCACUUCCCAGCUGCUCCUUCCUUUUCCUUCACUUCCCUGCUGCUCCUUCCUGGCCUCGCCUCCACUGUGCCGUCCUUCAGGGCCAUGCACACGCAUCAUUAGCCAGGUACAAAAAGCUACACAUGGUAAAUGGUAAUUUAGGGUGCAUGUUUUAAGAUUUACCUUCAGCAAGGUGCUCCUGAGUGUUGAGGUUUUGCCGCCGGUUCCACCGGGGACAACGGUCUCUCCCUGCCUUGCCUUUUGGUCCAGUUCUUGCCUUCUCCAAGGGUCUCGCCUUUCAUGUUCGGAUGUCAUUUCACGUGCGAAAUUAUAGAAGAUCUCUUUAAGUUCAAAGGAUUUCAUGUUCAGAUGUCAGUUUUUGCCCAUCUCCUUGUACCCUUCCUGUCCAAUCUGCUCCUUCCUCACCUCCUCCAUGGCGACCCAUCUCCUGGUACCCUUCAUAUCCGAGCUGCUUCUUACUCGCCUCGCCUCCGUGGUGGCCCAUCGCCUGGUACCCUUCAUGACCGAGCUGCUCCUUCCUUGCCUCACCUCCGUGGUGGUCCAUCUCCUGGUACCCUUCAUGACCGAGCUGCUCCUUCCUCGCCUCGCCUCCACAGUGGCACAUCUCCCUGUACCCUUCACUUCCCAGCUGCUCCUUGCCUAGCCUCCGCGGUGGCCCAUCUCCCGGUACCCUUCACUUCCCAGCUGCUCCUUCCUGGCCUCGCCUCCACGGUGGCGUCCUUCAGGGCCAUGCACACGCAUCAUUAGCCAGGUACAAAAAACCACACAUGGUAAAUGGUAAUUCAGGGUGCAUGUUUUAAUAUUUACCUUCAGCAAGGUGCUCCUGAGCGUUGAGGGUUUUGCCGCCGGUUCCACCGGGGACAACGGUCUCUCCCUGCCUUGCCUUUUGGUCCAGUUCUUGCCUUCUCCCAGGGUCUCGCCUUUCAUGUUCGGAUGUCAUUUCACGUGCGAAAUUAUAGAAGACCCCUUUAAGAUCAAAAGGAUUCCGUCGAAUCGAGUAUGAUUUUACGUGUGAUAGCAUCUCAUAUACCAAAAAUAUCACCGAACUCGAUUAUAGAAGUUAGCUUUCUCCUGUUUCUCACUCUUUCUUUUUAAUCCCACAAACUCUUGAGUUAAAUUUGAUGGAAAUGGUGGUUUUCAAACGGGUAGGGGUAGGGAUGGAAGGCGAGUGAGGACUGCCAAAGGGAGGAGGAGGUGACACGUAAUGGGGGUAAAAGCGGCAGAUGCGGAGAUUUGGAACUUUGGGGCAAUGCCUCGUAGGCUCGUAGGUGUUUUGUCAGUGAAGAAGUUGCAGCGAGAAUGCCACGAGUCCAUGGCUUCAUGGCUCAUCACAGCUAUAAUUCCACAUCUUUUUUUCACGCCAUAGGGGGAAGCAAUGUGCUGCUACAGUGUAUUAUGUAUAUUGUAGUCAAUUAAAGCGAGAAUAUCCCUAACAUAAAUUUUAAAGAAAAGUUCUACUCACAUCGUCGUCACUCUCAAAUCUACACUUUCUAUAAAUGCGUUUUCUAUAUUGAAUAGUGCCGUUUCAUUUACUUUCAUCAUAAAGACUCUCAUAUCCUUAUUUUAUACUGCACCAACAAUUAUAGUCUACGUAACACACAAGUCGAAGUAAUUAAGAAUUAUUUAACAACUUUAAUACUGAUACGGACGUGCCAAUUCUAUACCGAACUCGAUCGAGUGAGUAGUACUUAAUAUAGUUCGGUCGAGUGAGUAUUACUUAAUAUAAUGACGUGGUAGAUUGUGCUGCUGACUUAUGAAUCGAGCAACUUCGGUCGAGGGGGAAACACUCUCGGUUUUGAGUUCUAAAAGACAAAGUUCAAAACUAAAAUUGUGAACUUAGUCUUAUUUACGUAAUUCAUUCAAUCUUCGGCCUUGAGUUCUAAAAUCGGAAGACAAGAUUCAGAACUAAAAUUCUGAACUAGUCAUGUAAUAUUAAUUCAAUCUUCGUUGGGAAAGUCAGAUUCAGAAUCCAAUCAUAAUCCUCGGAACAAUUCUUUCUCGUCUUAAGACUCGGCCACACCAGAGAUCAACCCUGAUCUUCGACUUCGACCAAUACUUCAUCUAGGGUUUGGACCACACCAGAACCCAUUCCUGAUUCACAAAUAGUCGUCUCUAAUCACUAUCAAAUCCACACUUGUUUAAAUAGUGUCGUUUCAAUUCCUUUCAUCUUCCUCAACGUUAGGAGGCUCUCAUAUCCAUAUUUUAUACCGUGUUCUGUGUAUUGUCGCCUGAGUUUGACGAGAUAAGAAGACAUAUGUAUGAAACAUGCAGUCAUGUGUUCAAAUUUCUUCUGCCUUUGCCUUUGUAAUGCGCUACAAAGGUUUCAAAAGAGGGUUUAAACUUCCAACUGAUUGGGAUUUUUUCGAGUCAUGUGAUGAAUAUUUGCUGAAUGAUUCAAGGAAAAAAGGACGAAAAUAAUUCAGUCAAAAAAUUAACAGCAAAUGCUGCAGAUGACAUUUUUCUGUGGUGACGGAAGCAUGCAUGCUUGUGUAAGUAAUAAGCCCUCUUUUGAGUAUUAGCUCGUCAAAUAUUCAAAAUUUCUCCAACUGUCUCUAGAAAUACGAUUUAGUUGUGACAGAAAUACAAGUGGUACACCACGUAUUUUAAUAAAAAUGAUAGGAAAUUUUAUUUUUUAAUUUAUUAAAUUUUUAGCACAUAUAUCUCACAAUUUAUUUAGUAACAAAUAAUGUACUACCAUGUGUACCGAUUACAUUAAAAAAUCUCUCCUCAUACACAAUGUUCGUUCAAGAAUUCCCCGACAGCUACAAGCAAAAUUUUGUUGCACACGAAAAAAGGCUUGGACGUAUGAAGAAAACAUAUUAUGGAAACGGAAACCACGGGAAAAUGCCAUUAACAGAUGACUUGAGGAAAAUUAAACAAGAAGGAGAUUACAAGAGUGGUCUACUACAAGGGCAAAAUAAGCAAAACACCGUUCCUAGCUACCACUUUAUGCAAAAAGACACUAUCGGUAACACUAGCUACUACAAGGGAAAAAUAAGCAAAAUACUGUUCCUUGGUAUAACUUUAUGUUACAGACACUGACGUAGCAAGAAACAUCAAAAACCAAAGAGGGUUUGGAGUUUUGGGAGCCACCCAUGCUGCUUCAAAAUCAUGAUCAGCGAUUCUUGGUCUUGAACUUCGACUCGUCAAUCUUGAUGCCUUCCUCAGCAGCACGCUCUCCUCCGGGCUUGUCAGUGGUGCUCAGCCCGCCCUUCUUUCCCAUCUCAUGGUACCCCUCUUCCCCUAUCUGUCCCUUCCUCGUCUGCCCUCCACGGCUCCGCCCUAAUCACCACACACAAAAAUUCAGACUGAGUAACUAAAAUGUCGAAACUUACCUUCACCUGGAAUGCAACGGUAGCAGUAUUAAAUAAGGAUUUAUAUACAUACACACAUAUAUAACCCUUAUCACUCACUACCACAUAAAUUACCAUAUUUUGUUUACUUUCAGGUCUCGAGAUGCUGCUACCCUUGCAUAUAACAUAAUAUGUGCAUGAAAAGUUCUCUCUCGCGGCAGAAGUGGAAAGACGAGUAAUUUAAUGAAUUAGUUACCUUCAGCAAGGUGCUCCUGUGCUUCAAGGCUAUGGCCACCAGUACCACCGGGCACGAUGGUCUCUCCCCGCCUUGCCUUCUCGUCCAGCUCAUUUCUCUUCUGGGGGUCUUGUUUUUCCUGUUCCGACGCCAUUUCUUAAUUUCCAACCUCUAGUUGUUCUCACAAAGUUUGAUGCAAUGAAGUAAACACUCUUUUUGGUAUUCGUUGCUGUUUGGAGGGAAAUCAGGGUUAUAUAGAGGGAGGGUUGGAAGGUGAAUGAGGAGGCAGAGAGAGGAGGAUGUGUCAUGUGAUGGGGCGAACGUGGCUGAUGGGGGGCUCUAGAGGUUUGGGGUAAUGCCACGCAUCUGCUUUGCUCUGUCAAAACGGUUGUUUGACUUGCAGUAAGAAGGACACGAGUCCAUUGCUCAACUCGGUCGCACCGUUGCCAAGGAGAUGAUCAUAUCAGCCUCAUGCAUAUCCACUACCCACCUUAAGAACAAGGUAUUAAAUAUCGGUAAUAUCGGAAAUAUCGGUAGUCCGAAAACACGGAAAUAUCGAUGGAAAUAUCGGGAAAAUAUCGAUAUCGAUAAAAAUUACAUGGAAACCACGGAAAUUGUAAGAAAAACUUGGAAAUUUUUAUUGAAACUUUGCAGGAUGUUUAUUUAGUCAAUUAUCUAUUAGUUUAUCACAAAAAAUUGGAAGGAAAUGCAUUGCAUGAUGGAUUUAACAUUAUCAAGUUGAUUAUAUAGCGAGCUGACAAACAUUGUGAGUGUAGAAAAUAUGUAGUAAUUAAUGAAAGAAGUCUAAACACACCAUAAUCAUUUAUAUAUAAUGAAUUAGUACAAUAUUUUACACUUUAGUACCACAUAGAGUUCCUAUGAGGUUCAAAUUUUUCACUAUCUUCAUCAUCUCUAUGUGUAGAGUGAGUGUAUUGUGAAGAGUAGUUAUCAAAUAAUAAAUCCCCAAAAUAGUUUUGCAUAUGAUUGUUAACAUGCCACCCAUAUGGAUCCGAGAUUGGUUGAGAUUGUCCAUAAGCAAAAUAAUUUGAAGAUUGAGUCUGGGAUUGUUUCCAUGAGUCGCUCGAUUCCAUCCCAACAGGAAUGGGAUAUGAAGGGUAGGGAAAUGGUUGGUUAUGAGUAUAACCAUAGUUACUACUUCCCAUUCCAACAGAGUCCGAAGUUCUAGAUAACGAGUCAUCUUUUUGACUUGACAAAAUCCCCUUGCCUCUUUCUCUACGAGUAUAGUCCUUCCCUAUGGUACCAAUUCCUGGUCCUACCCGCCUACUGCCAUGGUCAUCAUCUUGUGUUGCAUGCGUGAAGUUUGCCUCACCAGUGAAGGGGGUCAUAUAUCCGGGAGGUGGUGGUCCAUAAUAGUUUCCAUAUCCACCACCACUACCUCCAGCUCCACUGUAUCCUUCAUCAUUCCCACAUCCAGUGGUAGGUGAGUCUCCUGAUCUUGUAUUAGAGCUAUCAUUAGUAUCAGCACGAUGUUGUGGUUGUGUAGGAUUGGAAGAAUGUGGAAUUCCAGUGUUUCUUGGUCUUGGGCGCAAAAGUUCUUUCAAAGAGUCAGCGCUGCUAGAUCCCACCUCCUCCUCUAAUACUCUUUCUACAUUUAUCCCUUCAUUACGUGCUUCUUCAGCAACUCUAGGAGCUGGGUUGCCUUCAUCAUCAUCUAAAUGAAGAGGUCUAAUCCAUUGAUAAAGUUGGUUACUGUCUGUAUCAUCAUCUUCACCAACAAUAUCAAACACAUCUAGUGGGUCACCACGGUCGACAUGAUCUAUUUCUGCUUCCUUAUCUCAAAUUUGAAGCUUCAUGUUGUAGUAGCAAUACACUAAUUUUUCCAACCUACUAUGAGCCAACCUAUUUCUUUGCUUUGUGUGUAUGAGUGCAAAUGUGCUCCAAUUUCUUUCACAAGCAGAUGAGGAAGCUGUUUGUGAUAAUACUUUGAUUGCUAACCUUCUCACAGUUGGUGCAUCGGUCCCAUACAUGAUCCACCAUUCAGCUACAAUGAAAAACAAUGUUGAUAAGCCUAAUAACUCCAACAAAUUCUAUUAUAAACUUAUAGUGAAAUAUGUUUACACUCACUAGGAGACAUUGUUGUUCGAGCAGCAAUUGAUGUUGGUUCUCCAAAAGUUCUUCUUGCAUCUUUAAACCAUGUUAGCUGAAUUCAAUAAAUCGUGUUAGUUUAAUCCAACAAAGUAAUUAUUAUAAUUUAAGUAAUUGUGUACCUCAUUUCCAAAUUGGCCAACUGCUGGUGAUGCAGGGUCUAAUUUAGAGUAUACAUUAUGUACAGCACGUAUAAAGGUACCAUCAUCUCCAACACCGGGUUUGUAUUGAUAUCGAGGAUUCAAAUAAUAUGUUGUUCAAAGAAACACAUACCCUAAUAAGAGAAAUAAUACUUAUGCAACUAAAGAAAUGAAUUGCAAAUUAUGACAUAAUUUAUACCUGCUGCAUGCAAAUCGUGGUAUAAUGUUUUAUACCAUCGGUCUUCAAUUAUCUUUAUGACCCACCUUGCACCAUGUUUUCUUUCCAAUUCAUCAUUCACUACACGCAUCAACUCAUAUACUGCCCCCAUAGUAGGAUACACUUCUGUGUCAACAAUCCGUAAAACCUUAUAAAGAGGUUCAAACACUUGGCACACAUGUUCUGAUUGAGUCCAAAAAGCAUGAUCAAGCACUAUACUUUCCACCAUACGACCUGCAUUUGAGCGGCUGAAAUUGUGGUUGGCCCAAUCGUCACUAGUGAAUAGUUGCUUCAACCCUGCUUUCUUCUUAAGUAGGCUGUCUAAUGCAAUAUAGUUGGUGGCGAAUCGAGUGGUAGCUGGACGAAUAAUUUCUCCUUUGCAAAAUUCACGCAUCUUUGCCAACAACCAACCGUGAUUGUAAAUAUAAUUUGUGAUCGUUCUAGCUCUUUUGACCACAGUAGCAACAUUCCUCUCUUCCCCAUUGCCUCAAACAUGAGAUCAAUACAAUGUGUUGCACAUGAUGUCCAAAACACAUUAUGAUGCUUCAUUAACUUUUUUCCAGCUUUGACAAAUGCAGAACCGUUGUCGGUCACGACUUGGAUAACAUUAUGCUCUCCCACCUCCAUGAUUACAUCCCUCAAUAAUUUGUAAAUAUACUUGUAGUUCUUUAUAUGGUCUGAAGCAUCAACAGACUUAAAAAAAAUUGUCUUUCCCUUGGAGUAUACCAUGAAGUUUAUGAUAGACAAUCUGGUCGGGCCGGUCCAUCCAUCACACAUGAUUGUGCAACCAUUAGUUUCCCACUUUGACCUCAACUUGUUAACAUACUCGCCAAUGUCUUUAUACUCCAUAUCCAAAUAUUUGUUUCUUAUCUCAUAGGGAGUGGGAGGUUGUACUCCAACACCAGCCUGUUGACAUCCCACUACCAUAUUUUUGAAAUGAUGUGAUGAUGCUUUCUCAGCAGGGACAUUUUCAUAGAUAAAGAACUUGCUAAUUAGACGCCCCAUUCCCUCUUUCACAUUACCUCCAGUGAAAUAACUCCAAACACUCUUUUGACGUGUUUUGGAUGACUUAUAUAAACUUGGGGCUAUUGGUGGUGUUGGUUGUGAUUCUCUAAGACUACCUCCCCGUCUCAUUUGUGCACCACCACUUGUCCCGGAACCUUGUGUUCUAUUAGGAAUUUUAUGAAGGUGUUCUCUUUCCCAUGCUGACUGUUUGGAGGCACGUAAUGCUUGUUUCAAACUGCGUCGUUCUUUAGGUCCCAUGUCAUCAUCACAUUCGUCCUCAUCGUCAUCAUCAUCACUGUCAACCGCUUGGCCAAUGACUUCUCCUCGUAGCCCAGCUCGAAUAUUUUCCAUUCCAUGUGUUAUCUUUUCCUUCUGCUAUUUUUUAUUUUUUAAUAAUGUGUUGAUGAAUGCCUUCACUUCUGGGGGGACAUUAUCGCAUCGUUGGACAUUUUUUACUGGAUCUAAUCCACUAAGAUGGUACUUAAGUCGUGUCACUCUGCCACUCUUCAUUACCCGACCACAAUAUUUGCAAAUUGUGCCAUGUUUGUUUCCGUCUAUUGGGUCUUCAUGUUCCCAAGCUGGAUCACGUUUAGUAACUCCACUGGACAUCUUAAACGUACCUAUAUUUAUUUUUCAUGAAAAUUAGACAAUUAUUUUUUGAUAAAAUAAGAGAACCUAAAUAAUAAAGUUAUUCUACAGAAGAAUUAAAUACGAAGUAAUGAAAAUGAUUGUAAAAAUUUAAGUAAUUAUACAAAUAAUAUGGAAUAAUAAAACCUAAUAUUACUGAAUAAUAAUCCAAUUUGAUAAUAAUCCAAUUUAAUGAAUAAUCCAAUUUAAUAAGAAUAAUCCAAUUUGAUAAUAAUCCAAUUUAAUGAAUAAUCCAAUUUGAUAAUAAUCCAAUUUAAUGAAUAAUCCAAUUUAAUGAAGAAUAAUCCAAUUUGAUAAUAAAACCCAAUAUUAAUGAAUAAUAAUCCAAUUUGAUAAUUAAAAAAAACCUAAUAUUAAUGAAUAAUAAUCCAAUUUGAUAAAAAAAAUAAUCCUAAUAUAAAACAUGGUGAUGAAUAAUAAUCCAAUUUUAUAAUAAUCCAAUUUAAUGAAUAAUCCAAUUUAAUGAAGAAUAAUCAAAUUUGAUAAUAAAACCUAAUAUUAAUGAAUAAUAAUUCAAUUUGAUAAUAAAAAAAAACCUAAUAUUAAUGAAUAAUAAUCCAAUUUGAUAAUAAAACCUAAUAUUAAUAAAAUAAUAAAUAACAUUAAACAUAUUAAAAUUAUCCUAGGGAAUAAUUAUACAACAUUACUUAAUUACUUAAAAAAAUUAACAUGUAAUUGUUAAUAUUACUUAAUUACUUACAAAAAUUAACAUGCAAGUAAUUAAUUUAAAAAAAUUAACAUACGAGUCCACACAAAUUUAUUUGUUGUUGUAUAAAUUACAAUAAUAUAAAUUUAAGUUUGUAAACUUACCUUAAAUAUGGAACCGUUUGUGUUUAAGCUUUGGAAUUGAUCUGGAAUGGCUUUGAAAAUGGUAAGGGAAAUAAAAUAAUAAAUAACAUUAAACAUAUUAAAAAAUUAUCCUAGGAAAUAAUUAUAUACAACAUUACUUAAUUACUUAAAAAAAUUAACAUGUAAUUGUUAACAUUACUUAAUUACUUACAAAAAUUAACAUGCAAGUAUUAAUUACUUAAAAAAAUUAACAUACGAGUCCACACAAAUUUAUUUUGUUGUAAAAUUAUAUAAAUUGUUUGUUGUAUAAAUUACAAUAAAUUAAAUUUAAGUUUGUAAACUUACCUUAAAUAUGGAACCGUUUGUGUUCAAGCUUUGGAAUGGAUCUGGAAUGGCUUUGAAAAUGGUAAGGAAAGAAGAAGAAACGAAAAUGCUGAAUGCCUCUGAUAGUGAUACUCCACCUCUGAUAAGGUGUGAAAGAAUAUAAUAGACAAUGGCACACUGUUCUGCAUGUGAAAGAAUAUCACGGACUCACAGUGGCACACGGACACGGUUUCAUUAUAAAAGCAGUAUUAUUUGAUGUCCAUGGUCUGAAACUGCAAAAAGUUAUGAACAUAUUGUGAAAUCAGUCAGGCAUCUCAGAUGAGAUGACCCAACCACAUCAAAGGGCCACAUAAAUUUUUUGCAAGUAUUGCUUAAUAAGCUAGAAUCUAAAACCAAAAAGUAAGAAUAUUAUUGGUGUUACAGCUUUACAAGUUACGAAUGUAUUAUAUUUAUAUGUCUUACACAGGUCCACAGUCACCUCACACGACACCACACACACACACCGACAUGACACCACACACACACGCACACAACCCACGCACACUCACAUCUCACACGCACGGUCUAGACUCUCUCUCUCUCGGUCUCUUCUCUGAGUCUCUCGAAUCUUCUCUCUUCUCUUCUCUGAGUCUUUUCUCCCCCUUCUCCGUUCUCCCACGGGCCACAACCAACAACAAACACAUAUCUCCCAAGUCCCACCCACGUAUGCCUCUCGAUCCUUCUCCCCCACACACACACUCACGCACAGAGACCCAAGGUCUCUCGAUCCUUCUCCCACUCCCACACACACGCACAGAGACCCCAUCGCAUCGGCAGAUCGGCUUCUGCUUCUCCCUCGUCGCCGCCGCCGUCGUCUCUCUCUUUUCUCUCUGUGCCGAGGGUCCAAGACCCACAUACACACACGCACACCCAUCAUCAUCAGCAUCGUCUUUCUCCCUCUCUUUCUCAUCUUUGCAACUCGGCGAACUCCGGCGAGGCUGUGCGUGUCGACUCACUUUCCGAACACCUCCGAUGGUUUCACGGCAAACUUCAUAUAUAAAAACGUUCAUCUCGUCUUCUUUUUCAUUUUCAUACCUAGAUCGGAGUCUAGGGUCCUGUUUUACAGUCGGUCGGAGCUUCUACAACUCCGGCAUUCUUCUCCGAGCGGUCAGGGUCCGAUAUUAUCUCUAAUUUCGAUAAUAUCGCGAUAUUAUCCCGAAAACCAUUUGGAUAUUGAAAAAAAAAUCGGUUCUCCUCAAAACCGAUAAUAUCGGCAUUUCGGACCAUGCUUAAGAAUACCAGAGUGAUGGGGAGUUACAACAGUUAUCCCCAAUUCAGUAAGUUUUUUUUUUUUUUUUACAUGAUAUUAUCUUCGCUAAGAGGAAGAGAGUGAGCUGAGCCUCACAAUAGGUUACUAAUAAUGUGGUUUAAACUCGCAUCAUUACUUACAAGUGAAAAUAAAUAUCAUUAGAUCGUAGUAUUAAGUGGUACUUAAUUCAAAUAAGUUUUGUAACAGCUUGGAAUUUAUGUUGUAAUUAGUAUAGGGCUGUUACCAUAGUUAAAAGCUGGUUAAGGAUAGUUUAAAGUCAAUGAAUGCAUGCAUAUAUUAUUUUGUCGUUGAUGUUGUUAUAAGGCCAUCAUUGUAUGUUUCCGUUAUGUUGUAAAUGUUGAGCCAAAGUGCAUAUAUAGUUUCUGUGUAAUUUGUGCAUAAAUAGAUUGUAAUCUUCCCUUGAUAAAAUAUAACAAAAGUCAAUUUCUACAUAAAUUUUUAGUAUAGUGUUAACAUGCCUUCAUGUAGUGCUCGUCUAUAGAACACUCUGCCUAGCAAUGCAUGCCGCAUAGCACUGCAUGCAUAGUACAUAGUACUACAUUCCUAGCACUGCAUGCCUAGCCUUCUGCUUAGCAUUGCGAUCUGAUGGUCUAAUUAGAACAUCUCGAUCUGGUGGUCUAAUCAGAGCACCCUUUUGAUGGUUGGUGGUCUAGUUAGAACACCCUUCUAGUGGUCUAGUAGUCUAAUUAGAGCAUCAUUCUCUUGUCGUCUCGGUAGAGCAUCCUCGUCUACCUAGCACUGUGUGCCUCAACAUUGUAAAGAAGCUAUUCUCUCUUUUGUGAGAGCCUUUCUCUCUGAGUUAGAGUUCUUCUCAAUGCUUAUCUGAGGGUUUCGAUUUUGUACAACUUUGGGGGGGGGGGGUGACCCUAGCUUCGGCUGGGGUUGGUUACCUGCUCUUCCCUUCCUUUCCGUGUCUCCUCUUUCUCCUUGCGGUAGUGGUUUCCCCAUGCUCUCUGUUUCAUUUUGCCAUUUUCUUCUUCUCCUACUGACAUCCCUCCUCCUUGGUCAUCCUUGCUCCAAUAUGCAGUCUAGUUAUUCUGAGAUGGUGUGUAGAGCUUCGGUGCUUGCACGGGCUCGGGUGUUCCUUACACCACUACCUUCUCUUUGUCUGCCCUUGAUGGCGGUGUUGCUAGUGGCUUUGCAAGGGCUUCUUUCCUCAGGUAGCCGGAAUUCCUUUUCUGGUUGCUUGAUUUCUUCGAUGGUGGCUGCGUCUCAGGUGAUGCUUGGGGUUCGAUGCGAUGAUCGACGAGUUGGCGUGUGGUCGAAGGUGUGGAUUUGGGCGACUCUUGAUCGGCUGUUGCGGCAGGGGCUGCUGUUGCAUUCUUGGGUAUCUUUUUUGUCUUGGGCCCACGUUGUUGGUUAGGCUUUGGUUUGUUUGGCUGGUCCAUUUUGCUUGUCAAUGUACUUUGGUUUGGACCUUUGGUUGUUUAGUUUGUAAGCUUGCGUGCUUCUUGUAACUUUGUUUACCUUGUUUUUUGGCUAUGCCCUGGAAUAAUAUUCAGUUUUCCAAAAAAAAAAAAAAAAAAAUUGUAAAAAAGCUCAAUCAUGUGCUAAAAGAGUCCCCUCCAACUCCUUCUUGGGCCUUAGUCCUCCCUUCUUCCUUUAGGCAUUGGUCUUCCCUUCUUCACAAGUCAUCAAGUUCUUUACAAGUCAUCAAGUUCUUUUUUCGGGUUAACCAUAACUCUUUAUUAUAUUAGAUAUUAGAUUAAUGAUCGAUAAGAUUUGAACCCAUACUUUUUUACUAUUAUAGUAAAGAACCAUUUAUUUUUCUCUUCAAGUAUUAAACCCUUUAGAUAUAAGGAGUUUUUUAAAGAAAAACUCACGGUACAGUUCAAUUAAAUGAAAAACUAAAAAGUCAAACUUAGUACUAUUCAUUUUAUCCUUUAUUUUAUCUUUAUCGUUAAAACUUAAAAUUUUCAGUCUUUUUCAUUAAUUUUCCUUUAAUUAUAACACUUGAUACGAAACCGUGUUUUAGCACAUUAAAAAAUAUCUCAUGGAUUUGGUCAAAUGACGUCUCCAAGUAAAAGAUUCCACCAUUCUACUUGACAUCUGUAUAUGCAGAAAAACACAUGUUUAUAUUCUAAUCCACGUACUUUAACUGCUAAUUAAUUAGCCCCUAUUAUUCUGACAAUCCCUGCAUGUUCACUUUGGGAAGAAGUGACGUUACCACUCAUUAGUAAGAAGAAGAAGAAGAAGAGAAGGGAAAUUUCUCCUCCUCUUCUCCUUCUUCGCAAAACCCAGAUUUCAAUUUCCAAAUCCAGUUCGAAAUUUGGAAUCGAAUUCCCGAAAAACAUGGAUGAAAAUCCCAACCCGACGAGUCCGCCACCGCCGCCCAAGAAGCCGCCCAUUCCGCCGUACGUGAAGGCGCUGUCGGGCUCGUUCGGUGGGAUCAUGGAGGCCACGUGUCUUCAACCCAUCGACGUCAUCAAGACCCGGCUCCAGCUCGACCGGACUGGCACCUACAAGGGAAUUGUCCACUGCGGCGCCACUGUCGCCCGCACCGAAGGCGUCCGGGCUCUCUGGAAGGGGCUCACCCCAUUCGCCACCCACCUGACAUUGACGCGCUUCGGAUGGGCUCCAACGCCGUGCUGCAGGGUGCGUUUAAGGACGCGAAGACCGGGAAGGUCAGCAACCACGGUCGGCUCAUUUCUGGGUUCGGAGCUGGAGUUCUCGAAGCUCUAGUCAUUGUUACUCCUUUUGAGGUCUGUGCAUUGUUUUGAAGUGUCCAAUUGAAAAAGUCGACAACUUUAUUGGAUUUCUCUUUUGGGUUUCAGCUGGUAUUUUAUUCGAUAUUCUACUUUAAACUAAUGGUAAGUGGACGGGAUUCGGACUCAGGUGCAUACGUAGUACAUUUGCUAGAGCCAUUGUAGCUAUGUCAGAAUGCCUAAAUUUGAUUUCUUACUACUUGUGGAUUUUGUCUAUGAUUGGCAGUGGGUGGUUUAAUUUAGUUAAUGAAAAACUAAAUUUAUAAAUUUUGAAGCAAGGCAAUUGGGAGUACGAGGAUUUUGAGAUUUUAGUGACUGAUAGAGAAUUCGGGGAAGAUACUGAUUCAAUUUGCUUACUUUGGGACCAAGCGUCUUUUAUGUUUUCAAUCGCACAUUGCACUUAAUUAAGUUCUCCUGUUCGUUGUUAGUUUUUGUCCAAACAUGUACGAACUCUAAGCAUCGAUCUGGGAUUGUUUAAAAUUGUGUUGUUAGGUGCAUUUUAUACUCGGUUUACAGCUGAAAUGGUUAGCUGGUUAUAUGGCAUUGUUGGCUUGAGUCGGUUAGUUAUACUCUUGAGAGAUCUCUUGUAUGAAUCUUCGUGUGCAAGCUAACAUAGUUCAUUCAAUACAACAAAGAUAUUAUGCGUGUUCAUUGUCGGCUUGGUCUUGAUUUGGAAUUUAAUUGAUGCAGGUGGUGAAAAUUAGACUACAGCAACAAAAAGGAUUGAGUCCUGGGCUUCUGAAGUAUAAGGGUCCUAUUCACUGUGCUCGUACAAUCAUCCGGGAGGAAGGUCUCCGUGGGCUCUGGUCAGGUGCUGCUCCAACUGUUAUGCGCAAUGGGACGAACCAGGCGGCCAUGUUUACAGCCAAAAAUGCAUUUGAUGUUCUCUUGUGGAAGAAACAUGAAGGAGAUGGGAGAGUCCUGCUGCCAUGGCAGUCCAUGAUAUCGGGUUUCCUUGCAGGCACAGCCGGCCCAAUUUGCACCGGUCCCUUUGAUGUUGUGAAAACUAGGUUGAUGGCUCAGAGCCGAGGUGUUGAUGGCAAGAUGAAAUACAAGGGCAUGGUCCAUUGUAUCAGGACCAUAUAUGCAGAGGAAGGGCUUCUAGCUUUGUGGAAGGGACUGCUGCCUCGGCUCAUGAGGAUACCACCCGGGCAGGCGAUAAUGUGGACUGUGGCUGACCAAGUGAUAGGACUGUAUGAGAAACGAUAUCUUCCCAAUGCACCCUUGUAGGUAACGUCAUUUAAUUGGUUUGUUAGUUCCGGUUUUCAAUUCCAUUGCAAGAAUACAUUCCUCAACCAUCUUAAUUUAGCAGUUAGCGUUUCUUCAUUGAGUUUCUUAGGCUUCUCCAAAUGUACACCGGUUCUUUAAGACCUUAUCAAUAUUUUUGAUGAUCGGUAGGAGAAUAGGCAACUUCUCAUCUCAAUAGAAACAAACUCCAUAUGUAGCAGAUAUGUUUGCAAGGAUGUCUCAACCGAAUCACAAUUUUUGUGUUCUCUGUUCAAUUUGUAUCAAGAAUCGAUUGUUAUAGAACCAUCAUCUUCAAAACUUCAGAGAAUGUUACGAAAUUUUUAAUGAUUAAGUUUUCUUUGUUUUAAUCUUAAAGUAACUGUACCCCACUUAGUGAAAAAAGACUUUGUUGUUGUAAUCUUAAAGUAACUAUAGUUAGAGUUGAUGUGUCGGUGUUAGCUUGGGAGAAAUUCUAGGGUCGGGGCAUCUAGACCACGUGGCUAUAUGACCACAUUUUUGGUGUCCCUAACCCUCGUAUGUUUUCUACCAUAUAUAGGCGUCUGCACUCAAGAAUUGUUCGAUAAAAUAGAGUGGUAACUAGGGCAAAUUUUCUGGUUGUGACACCUGUUAAAUGUUCUCGGAGUAGAUUAUGAGCAUGCGUUAAAGCCACAAAAGCUAAGCAGGAACAUGCUAUGUCACAAACUACUUGUUUAUUUUGUAGCACGAACAUGCUGUGUAUGUAAUUCACGAAAAUGAAAUUCCCAGCUUAGGAUGGUUAAACGAUAAAAGUAUGAAAAAAUUGGGAAAUUGGAGUCCCUUUAAUAGAUUUCAAUCCAAUAUCCAAGCAAUUUCCUAAAACACUAGAGCUUAUCAUUUUCAUAUUACAUAAAUACCGUUGGUUGAAAUUUGUCGACAUCGUCAUAGUUUAUUGUAUUGAUUUGACUUUAUGAUGAGAUAUUGGAGAAAACUGAAUUUACAUUACGAAGGAUGAUUACACUGUUCUGAGUAGAACAAAAUAAAUCUUUUUAUGCAAAAUGUAAUGCAAUGAGGAGUUGGGUUAUUCGGAGUUGGUUCCUUCGGGGGAGCAUUAGCAGUGCAUGCUUCAGAUCUGGAGACCGAUAUUUGUAUGUAGAACCUUAAGGACCAGGAUUAUGAGCAUUAGUAUUAGAGACGUCAUUGGAAUCUAAAUGAUGAAGCAGACUGGUGGUUUUUGUGAAUUUGAAUAAUAGGUCGCCGCCAGUCAUCAACUUUUUGCAAAAUUAUUUCUAGAAAAUUUCCUAAUGAAAAUCAGAUCCAUGACAUAUAAUCCUUGUCCCUUACACACCCAAUAUAACAUAAGCAUUUUUAUGUUAGCAUAACUUGGUUGAACAAUAAACCCAAGAAUCAUGAUGCGUGGCUUGUUAAGAAUUCAUAUCCACACCUUUUUAAGUGUUCAUGCUUGUUCUGUUGAUACACUACACAAUAAACCCGAGAAUUAUGAUAUGUGCCUUGUUAAUUAGCCAACCAAAAUUGGGAUAUGAAAUGGCAAAAAGCUCCACAAAAUCUGCGGAAUUAUCAUGCAAAACCUGCAUCCUACACGAUGAAUCAUCAAACUAGGGUGUCACUUUGUGUUGCUUAUAUUGGAAUUUCAUAGUCAAAUUUAAGUAGCUUUGCAACCCAUUUAUGUUGAAAGUCUGUGGAUUAAGAAAAUAUCUGAGACUUGUAGAUAAUUGUGCCACUUCUUAUUGGCAUGCAAAACGUAGCUUACAACUGCAAUGGUUGGCUGGUUAGUUUUAUGUUAUGAUCCAUCACUGUUGAAGUUAAAUUAGUUAGAUGCGUUUGAUUGACCAAUUUUGGACCAGAUUGACCUAAUCAACACCAAUUUCACCAUUGAUAAAAAAUAGUGUUAGUUUACAACUGGAUAAGUUGAGAAUAUGAGCUCGUUUAGAAAAUAUUUUUAAAUAACUGAAAAUAGUUUUAGAUAGAAUGUUUUUUGAAAUCAAUUCUUAGUAAAAAUGCAAGUUAAUACUAAAAAACACUUAAACUUCUUCCUGCAAGAAGCACAUAGCUAGUACUUCACGAUACACCUCGACCCGGUAUCUAAGUGGACAUCGAUAUCGAGGCAUGAUGGUUGACAUCCGAGUGGUGAUGAAACUAUAACAUGCAAUGAUGUGUAAAAAGUGUGAAAAAAUUAAAUCAAAGUCUAAAACUAAAUUAAUCUAGAGAUCUUAGAUUCGAAUCUCGUGAAUGACGAAGUCAAUACAAAAUUAAGUUGUUUAGUGUGUGGCUUAGCCGAAAUUCUCCUCCCCUUUGUGUAAAAUAUAUCGUUGUACUACAACAACAACAACAACAAAGCCUUUUCCCACUAAGUGGGGUCGGCUAUAUGAAUCCUAGAACGCUAUUGCGCUCGGUUUUGUGUCAUGUCCUUCGUUAGAUCCAAGUACUCUAAGUCUUUUCUUAGGGUCUCUUCCAAAGUUUUCCUAGGUCUUCCUCUACCCUUUCGGCCCUGAACCUCUGUCUCAUGGUCACAUCUUCGAACCGGAGCGUCAGUAGGCCUUCUUUGCACAUGUCCAAACCACCGUAACCGAUUUUCUCUCCUCUUUCCUUCAAUUUCGGCUACUCCUACUUUACCUCGGAUAUCCUCAUUCCUAAUCUUAUCCUUUCUCGUGUGCCCACACAUCCAACGAAGCAUCCUCAUCUCCGCUACACCUACGUGUUGAUGCUUCACCGCCCAACAUUCUAUGCCAUACAGCAUUGCCGGCCUUAUUGCCGUCCUAUAAAAUUUUCCCUUGAGCUUCAGUGGCCUACGACGGUCACACAACACGCCGAAUGCACUCUUCCACUUCAUCCAUCCAGCUUGUAUUCUAUGGGUGAGAUCUCUAUCAAAUUCUCCGUUCUUUUGCAAGAUAGAUCCUAGGUAGCGAAAACGGUCGCUCUUUGGUAUUUCCUGAUCUUCGAUCCUCACCCCUAACUCAUUUUGGCCUCUGUUUGCACUGAACUUGCACUCCAUAUAUUCUGUCUUUGAUCGGCUUAGGCGAAGACCUUUAGAUUCCAACACUUCUCUCUAAAGGUUAAGCUUCGCGUUUACCCCUUCCUGCGUUUCAUCUAUCAACACUAUAUCGUUUGCGAAAAGCAUACACCAAAGAAUAUCAUCUUAAAUAUUAAGUUUGUGAUCUUCACUAGAUUGCUCCGGUCAUUAGCGUGGAUAAGUAUGUAAAUGGAUAGAGACAAGAAGCAAACACAAGAUGUACGUGGUUCACCCAGAUUGGCCACGUCCACGGAGUAAAGAAGUUCUCAUUAAUUGUGAAGGGUUUACACAGUAUAUAGGUUCAAGCUCUCCUUUAGUGAGUACAAGUGAAUGAUUUAGUACAAAUGACAUUAGGAAAUAUUGUGGAAGAAUGAUCUCGUAAUCAUGAAACUUUUAAGUACCGAAGUGUGGUAUCGUCUUCACUUGCCUUAUCUGUUUCAUAGGUAGAUGUGGCAUCUUCUUUGGAAGUACUCUUCCUCCAUCCAGGGGUGGUAUCGUUAACUGGUGGAGAUGCACAAGGUAAUGUAUCAAUUUCACUUGACGCUUACUUGUAGUUUCAGGCUUGGUCAAGCGCGAUACAAACCAUGUAGUAGGAGUCCCCCAAGUCGCCGAGCUAGGGGAUCUGCUGAAAAAGGUGACAGACAAGGUAAGCAAUCAGAGCUCCAAGCAAUCAGUCCCAGAUCAGAAGUUUGAUUUCGAGUUCCGGCUGAUUGUUAUCCUUCUUCUUAUCUUGCAGGUAGCAUGAAGGAUAAAGAGAAGAAAAGGAGAAAAGGUGAUAUGAGAUACUUUUGCUUUUGAAGAAGUAACUUUCCACAUGCUUAUUCUUGAACUGGGCUGAAGGGUUUUCUUGUUUCCGCCAGAGUAUAAGGCCGACUGAAGAAUUUGAGGGUCAAAACAAGUCCAUCAAAUCUAGAGUACGUUCGACCUUGCUGAUAUGGGAUACUUUUGCUAUUGACAAAGUAGUGGAUGUAUCGGCAUGUGUUCUGUUGCGCUUGUCUCCACAUGCUUCCUUGUAUCCUUCUCACUUGCCCUAUUUGUUCCUUAGGCAGAUGUGGUAUCUUCUCGGGAAGCAUAAGAUGUUGAAGAUGAGUACUCGAGAGCAAUGGGGUUCCAGGUAGUCAGUUCCAGACUGGAAGCUUGAUUCCAAGUGUUGACUGAUUGCUUUCUUUCUCCUUGUCUUGCAUGUAAGAACAAGGCCAAAGGAAAAGACAGGGAAAAAGCAUGAUAUGGGAUACUCUUGCUUUUAACCCUGAUGAUAUGAGAUAUUCUUGCUCUGGUGUAGCUUGUUUGCAGAGGUAUUCUCGGGGGGAAAGAAAACUGAGUAUUUCGAGAGGCUUCGUUGGGAGUGCCCUCUCAGAUAUGAGGAAGGGUUAAGCAUUUUUGCAGGUCUGCCUGUCCGUUGAGGAUGGAGGUCGACAUAUAUAGGAGUCUCCCUAAUAAGAAGGAGUAAUACUAUUCUUUUACCCUGCUUGGUCAUAGCACGGUAGUGGGAGCUGCCAGCUUCACGUGUUUUAACUCUGUCAGAGCACUUUGAAAAAGUGGUCUGUGGUAUCUGGAAAGCUGAUGUUACGUGUGAAGAUUACAGAUAAGCUUUAUCCAAGGAGAUCUGGCUCUUGAAGUUGAGAAAGCGGUGUGAGGAUUACAGACAAGCUUUAUCUAAGGGGCUCUCGAAGUUGAGAAAGCGGUGCCUCUUCGAUUUUCGAACAAGCAAUCCUGUCGGGGAUCUGUCUCUCGAGAUUCGGAGAACGGUGCCUCUUCGAUUUUUGAGAAAGCAAUCCUGCUAGGAGCCUGGCUCUCGAGAUUCGGAGAGCGGUGUCUCGUCGCUUUUUGAGAAAGUAAUCAUGUUGGGAGUCUGGCUCUCGAGAUUCGGAGGACGGUGCCUCUUCGAUCUUGAAGCAAGCAAUCUUGUUGGGAGUGUUUUCUCGAAUGUGAGUAAAGGUUAGGCCUGUUUGCUAGUCUACCUUGCCAUGGGGCACACAGGUUGACACACAGGGACUUUCCAAUUAUCCAGUAGUGGUCCUGUUCCUUUACCCUUGUGGGUAAUAAUAUGGUAGCUAGACCUUCAAAAUUUAUGUGUCUAAACUUUGUUAGUGCUGUUUCUUUGCUAUUCUUUUACCCUUCUUGGUCAUAGCGAUGUAAUGGGAGCUGCAAGCUUCACGUGUCUAAACUUUGUCAGAGAUUUUUGGCAAAGUUAUCUGUGGUACCCGUGAGCUGAUGUUGCGUGUGGAAAGUGGAUGAUUGAACAGUAACAUUCACGUGCUUUCUACUUCACCAGAAAUUUUCGACAGAAUGCUUGUAAUUUCCGCAAAGUUGAGUGUGCAUGUGACAGGUGCUGACAAGGCUGAAAAAGCAGGUGCCUCUUUGAUUUCUGAGAUCGGCCCUCGUGGUCUCUGAGCAGCCCAGCUUUUGAGAAAGCAAGCACCUAUUCGAUUUCUGCGAUCGACCUUCGUGGUCUUUGAGCAGCCCAGCUUUUGAGAAAGCAAACGCCUAUUCAAUUCCUGAGAUCGGCCCUCGUGGUCUCUGAGCAGCCCAACUUUUGAGAAAGCAAACACCUUUUCGAUUUCUGAGCAGGCGCCUCUUCGAUUUCUGAAGCUCCAUCGAGUGCAGAUUUUUAUAAAGGCUGGUAUUAAGUUCCAAAGCACACUUGAAUCUCCACCAGUAGAAGCUCUCUUCUUGCAUUUCUAAGAUCUUGAUUUGUCCGACCUCUUUUCUCUUCAACACCUUUGAAAAUGUCUGGCCCAUUCGACCCAUUCGACCGUCGUUUUGACUUGAACCUUGUUGAAGAGGCAGCCACGCCUUCUCUAGACAACAUAUGGCGCCCAUCCUUCUUAUCCCCUAUUGGUCCUCUUACCGUUGGGGAUUUCGUGAUGAAGAAUGAUAUGACCGCUGCGGUGGUGGCCAGGAACCUUUUCACUCCCAAAGAUAACAGACUACUUUCCAAACGGUCUGAUGAGUUGGCUGUUAAGGAUUCUCUGGCUCUCAGUGUUCAGUGUGCAGGUUCUGUGUCUAAUAUGGCCCAACGCCUAUUUGCUCGAACCCGCCAAGUUGAAUCAUUGGCGGCUGAAGUGAUGAGUCUCAAACAGGAGAUUAGAGGGCUCAAGCAUGAGAAUAAACAGUUGCACGGGCUCGCACAUGACUAUGCUACAAACAUGAAGAGGAAGCUUGACCAAAUGAAGGAAUCUGAUGGUCAGAUUUUACAUGAUCAUCAGAGGUUUGUGGGUUUGUUCCAAAAACAUUUAUUGCUUUCGUCUUCUAGGGCUGUACCGCGUAAUGAAGCUCCAAAUGAUCAACCUCCGAUGCCUCCUCCUUCUAGAGUGCUGUCCAGUACUGAGGCUCCGAAUGAUCCCCCUCCGGUGCCUUCUCUUUCUGGGGCUCUGUCGACUGCUGAGACUUCUCCUAAGCAACCUUUGUGAAGGCUCCCUCUUGUUUGUUUAUUUUGACUCGUGUAUAUGUACAUAUUUGUAACUUCUUAGAGAUAUCAAUAAAAUAUAUCGUUGUACUAAAAAAAAAAAAUCUAAGAGUGAGUGUAGUGGACGAAGAACCAUUAUUACAAAUGCUUGUAGUGUCAUAGCAUAGAUAAAAGUACAAUAAAGGUAGGAACAUUCAUAUUUUGGGUAGAAUGGAUAUUACACAACUAACAAGAAAUAAAUUUCCUAUAUUAUUAGAAAUGGAUGCUAGAAUUCGCCAAUGAACCAUUGCUUGCCACAUAAUAUAGCUACUAAGUUGUGGAGGGGCAAAUAACAGAAAGUGCGAGUGGACAAAAAUACAAAUUUAUUAAAACCUUGGCUUUUUGUAACAUAGUAACCCAUAUUUGCAAAAUUCGAAUAAUUUCCAAAAAUAUAAAAAUAUAAAAGCAGUUAUGCUAAGAAUAUGAGUAAAUUACAAAUAUCUCAAGAAAUGUGACACACUAUGCUCAUAAAAAUGCAGACACACAAGUCUCAUGCAAAGAAAGUAGCCAUAUGAAUAAGCUAGGGGUAAAUAAUCUACGCUCGGGUACCAUAUAAAUGUAAAAUUAGUUAAGUUAGUCACAUACGAGUCCUAGAUGCAAAAACAUCUAGUACAAUAUUUUAAAAUCUGGAAUAAAUACACUUUCAUUUCUAUAGAGUUUAAAGCCUUUAAAAUUUUAAGAGAGUUUUAACGAAACACUUUCGGUACUGUUUAUUUUUAACGAAAAACCAUAUUUUUACUUUUCCCUGAUACUAUUCACAACACUAUUAUUUGUCAUUUUUCAUUAAAACUAAAUUUUUUUUUUAGACUUUUAGUUAGUUUUCUUAAAUUUUUUAAUUGAGUAACUAUGCACUUCUAUAAAUAUAUUUAAAAUCUUAAUUGAAUAUAAUGGAUUUGUAAAGCUUUUUUAACUUCCAACUGAAUAAAGCAUACUAAAGUAGGGCAAAAGUCUUUUGAUCAUUUUUUUUUUCCGAACAAAUGAUAUUAUUUAUUCAAAGAGAGAAGUGAGCUUAAUCUCACAAUGAAUUAACAAUAAUAUGGUUCAAAUUUGUCUUUAACAAAAAUCAAACUGAAAACCUCUCGCUUACAAUAAAUUAGAAUACCUUAAACCGUUGUACGCAAGUUUUUUGAGAGUUUUAACAAAACACCCCUGAUACUGUUUAUUUUUAAAGAUAAGUGUUUUUGAACUUUGGGUUAGUUUUCUAAGUUUUUACCCUUUUAAGAAAAGACAAUUUUCCGAAUUUCCCUAAAAUAAAACCCCUAACAUAAGCUGCGACGCGAAAUCGUAUAUAAACAAACGCAGCCGCAUGUCGAAACCCUAGCUCUCUCUACCAAGCCACCUUCGUACCGCUUCUAUUCGUCCUUUUAUCCGCUAUAUUAAACCCAAACCCUAAACACUCACCUCAGUGACCUCACCCCCUGUACUCCGCUCCAUCGCACCUCAUAUUUUCCCCCAAUCAGGUCUCAGAUUAUCCAAUCGGAUUUUGAUUUUCGAACUGCCAAUGCUAAUUUCACAGCAGUUCUUCGACUAUGGCUUCUCGAUUUCUCAUCGGAUUUUUGAUGUUUUAGGUUUUUGAAGUCGGAGAAUUCACAGAGCUUCCGAACAAUGUCGGACGAUGAGAGAGAGGAGAAGGAGCUGGAUCUCACAUCUCCAGAAGUCGUUACCAAAUACAAGAGCGCCGCUGAAAUUGUUAACAGUAAUUUUCUAGCUGUUUGUGUAUUCAUAUGCUUUUGUGGAUGAAUGUAUUGACUUGCAUUUGGGAAAUUUUGCAGAGGCUUUGCAGCUGGUAAUAUCGGAAUGCAAACCGAAGGCGAAGAUUGUGGAACUUUGUGAGAAAGGAGAUUCAUACAUCAGAGAGUAAGUAAUAUAUUUAAUUUACAGUUUUUAAAUAAUCCCAUAAGUUGAUUUUUCUUGUUGGCAUUGGAAACUACUUGUUUUUCUUUGGAAAUUUGUGGGAUUGUGUUGAUUUUUCUCUAUUGUAAUGCGAUGGUUUAAUGGGUUGUGUUGUUUUUGUGUAUGAAGGCAAACUGGUAACAUGUACAAAAAUGCGAAGAAGAAGAUCGAACGAGGCGUUGCCUUCCCGACUUGCAUUUCUGUGAACAACACUGUUUGCCAUUUCUCUCCUCUUGCCAGUGAUGAGUCAGUGUUGGAAGAAGGCGAUAUUCUGAAGAUGUAGGUUUUGACACAUAACCUAACUUUUGUAUGUUCUGACAUUUUUGAAAGAUAGCUUGUGGAUUAGAUAAUUUGAUUCGGACUUUUAUAUCCCAAGUACCAACAUACCGAUGGAGUUUUGUUCUCCUGCAGUGAUUUGGGCUGUCAUAUUGAUGGGUUCAUUGCCAUAGUUGCGCAUACUCAUGUUCUUCAAGCAGGGCCAGUCACAGGAAGGGCAGCUGAUGUUAUUGCAGCUGCUAAUACUGCUGCUGAAGUUGCAUUAAGGCUUGUUAGGCCAGGGAGAAAGGUAAUUUCUUGUAUGUUACUGGGUUGUGUGAUAGGUUACUGGGUUGUGUGAGGAUGGUUAGUGAUUGCAUUAUUUGUUUGCUUGAAUCAUUAUUGAUGUGAAAUGGGAUUUCUUGGUCAUUUGUUAAGCGUUUUCGCUUUGUGGUCUUCUAUUUUGAUGUUGUACUUUGAAUUGACAGCUUUUUUGUUUUCAUAAAAGAUGUGUUUUAUGCUCGUUGCACCCCCUGAUGAUGAAAUGUUAGUAUAAGCUAUGGACUUUCAUCCAAAUGAAGCUUUUUGUCAUAGUUACACUGAAGGGGAAUUCUAUGUUAUUUAAUUGUCAAGUUGUCAUAGUUCCACCACUUAGAUAUUUUAUUUAUAUUCUUUUUCAGUUUUUGCCUUGUCAUAUUCUCAGAUGGUAGCUGGUAGGCUUAGAUCUCCACUAGGUCUCCAUCUGUCUUUUAGCUAGUAAUGUCAAGUUGUUCUACUGCUGAUGUGUGUCAAUUCACGGUGAUAAUAACAUGUCUUCCUUAUGAAUGAGGUUUUGAAGGCAACUUUGCCGAGGUGAUCUAUGAUAAUUUGAUUUCCUCUUUUUCCCUGUUGCCUAUAUUAUGCUUGGCUAUUGGUGGGCUGCUCUGGUUGGACAUAUCUACAUUGUUCAUCUUGUUGUCCUCUGAGCCUACACCACUUCAAUCUCCUGGAAUAUACUUUCUUCACUUAUGCAAGUGUUCCUUGCUUCUAUAUGAUGAAUACUUGUCGAAAGCUAUGGGCUAACGUCCAAGUGAAGCUUCAUGUCAUAGUUACUCUGAUAGGAUUAUUAUGUGAGCAUAUUUGAUAGUUGUAGGCAACUUUGCCGAGGGAUCGAUUAUCCUAUCGGUUUCCUCCUUUCCUUGUUGCCUAUAUUGACUUGCUACAUUUGGUGCGUAGUGCAGGUGUAUUUCUUGUCUGUGCAAUCAUCAUUCAAAUUAGCUUACAUUUAAAGUGUGCCUUUCUUUCGAAUACUUUACUAUAUGAAGCAAAAAGAGAAACCUAAUUGAUCAAUCCAUUUUUUGUAGGCAACUUUGCCGAGGAAAUUGAAUCUUAUUGAUUUCCUCUUUUUCCCUGUUGCCUAAACCAACUGGCUACAUUUUGGUGAUAGUGCAGAUGUAUUUUGUUGUCUGUGCAAUUGUCAUUCAACUUAGCCUACAUGUCUUCCAAUUCAUACUGUUUGCAAUAUUUGUAGUCAAUUUAAACAUGUACAUAGGAUUGCUGUUUGGUGUUCAGAAAAGCAUAAUUUUUUAUCUUCUAGUUCUUUUACUAUGCUAUAUGAAUUUUUAUGUUAUUUUCUUUUUGUGGCUGCAGAACAAAGAUGUAACAGAAGCAAUACAAAAGGUUGCAGCAGCUUACGACUGCAAAAUUGUUGAAGGUGUUCUUAGCCAUCAGCUCAAGCAGUUUGUGAUAGACGGGAACAAGGUCAUAUUAAGUGCUUCUAAUCCAGAGACAAGAGUUGACGAGGCAGAAUUUGAGGAGAAUGAAGUUUAUGCAGUGGAUAUAGUUGCAAGCACAGGUGAAGGCAAGGUAAUAAAGGAGUUACAAAAAGCAAGCCCAACAGUCAUUGUUAUGUUAUAUAAUUAUUGGACUUUUAAAUCAACACAUUUAUUUCAAUUUGCAGCCUAAGCUGCUGGAUGAGAAGCAGACGACUAUCUACAAGCGAGCUGUUGACAAGAGCUACCACUUGAAGAUGAAAGCUUCUAGGUUUAUUUUCAGCGAAAUAAGCCAGAAAUUUCCCAUCAUGCCAUUCACUGCUAGGUUUGUUAACUUAUGUUAUUUCCGUAAUUAUUUUGUCCCUAGGUCUUCUUUUUUUACUAGCUUUAUUAAAGGUAUUUUUCUUUGCAUUAGAGCUUUGGAAGAGAAGAGGGCAAGGCUGGGCUUACUUGAAUGCGUCAACCACGAGCUUUUGCAGCCAUAUCCUGUUCUGCAUGAGAAGCCUGGUAACAAUCUACCCGCUUGACUGGCUUUUGGGAAAUCCUAGUUCUGUCAGUCUGAUUCUGUGAAUUUGUGAUUUGCAGGUGAUUUUGUUGCUCAUAUCAAGUUCACCAUCUUGCUAAUGCCAAAUGGAUCAGAUCGGAUCACAUCUCAUCCUGUACAGGAGCUGCAACCCACUAAACAAGUAGAUGACCCCGAAAUCAAAGCCUGGUUGUCUUUGGCCACAAAGAAGAAGAAAGGUGGUGGAAAGAAGAAGAAAGGUAAGCUAGAUAAGUUUCUUGAUUAUGGUUCAAGUACGUCCUGGAGAGAUUGUAGGGUCAUUUUUUAGACUCUGGAUUUUUAUGUCUUUGCACGGUGCAGGUAAGAAGAGCGAUAAGCCUGAGGAGUCUACGGAAGCUGAACCGAUGGAUGCAACGGCAAAUGGUGCUGAAUCUCAAGCAUGAGCCUUUGUUUCGUGUUUCAAUUUUGGUUCUCUCCCCACACACUAUAUCUGGUUGGAAGUUGGAUAUGAAUUAAUUUAAUACAGUGUUCAGACGUCGAUUCUAGCCGGGUUUUUCUCUAAUACGCAAUUCCGGAACUUGCGGGUUUUUGUAUGUUCUUAGAUUUUGUAGUCGAUUAACGUCAAGUUUAAAGUUACAUAAAAAUGUAUGGCAAUUUACGACGUUCGGGAAUUUGGUUACCGCAUGCUAUCCUCAACUUUGGAACACACUUGAUAUCGAUUGGGAUCUUAAUAAUUGGUGUACGACAUUAGGUAAAGCUUGUGAGUUCGAGGUUCUUUGUGGGUUUCCGCUUAUUCAGAUGAAAAAGAAUGAAAGAUAUUGGGGUCCUGUGUGGUUCUCUAUAGCUUAGUUCUGAAGUACAAUAGUAAAGCGAUGCACAAUAUUUUGGGGUGGUGGUGAUAUUCACCCCUCUUUAUGUUUCAGUCUUCUUAAUUUUCGAUUAUCGGAGCGAAUAAAUUGAAGGUCAAAUGUUGGAAAAUAAUAAUGGAUGUGUAAGAGGUAAAAAUGGGGGACUUGGAUUGUCUGCCCUCCCAUUUCAGUGCCCUCUCCUUGCCCUCCUGUUUGUGUGGUCACGGUUAAGUCACGGUAACAUUUUAUAUUACUAUUUCUUUUUGUUUUAUUAUUUUUAUAAAAAAAACAAUAUAAAAUGUUGACGUGGCUUAAUCGUGACCACACAAAAUAAGAGGGCACGGGAAGGGCACUGAAAUGGGAGGGCAAACAAUCCAAGUCCAAAAAUAGGUGUGUGAAUAGCACCAUUCUAUUUUUUAACUCUACAUUAACUAAUGGGAAAUGCUAGAGGAUGAGGUUUUAUUAGCUUCUGAAUACUAUGAGAGCAUGUUUGUUUAACAAAGGAGAGAGAUGAAGAACUUAGAAAUAGUUUGAACUGAGGAAAGCAUGUUUGUUUAACAAAGGAGAAGGAUGAAUAACUUAGAAAUAGUUGGAACUGAAGAAAGAGAAUCUGAUCAACUAACUUCUUCUAAUUUUUAGUAUUUGAUUAUUUAACGGAGAAACAUACACGUUUUUUUUUCUUUUCCAUAUGUUAGUAACACAGGUAAUGUAAGUGAAACAUAUUCAUAUUUUAAUAAAAACAAGAAACCAAAGAAUUAAAAUGAUUUUGCAAGUAAACGUGCUGAAAAUGUUGAUUUGAUGUUUGCAUUGUCUUAUGAAACACAUGAGAUAAUCUUGAGUCAGCCUGCUUGACCUCAUGAAUAUACACACCCACCUUGUAUUUGGCCUAUUAUCUAUUUCUAACUUCAUGUCUACAUGAUUGUUAUGACUAUGUUUUGAUUUAUAUUAUCGAUAUUUUUUUUGUGUGAAGAUAUUGUCAAUACUUUAAUUACACAGAUGUUGAAAUUUUUUCAAUCUAUAUGUGAACAUAAAUCUUUUUAACAGUAAUUAGUUAUUCACGAAAACUUAGCAGUAUAACUCAUUGAUAUAUUUUUAUGUAAGUGAGUAGGUCCAAAUUCAAAUCUUGUAAAAACCAAGUUAAAUACAUAAAUAAGACUAACCUAUCGUGUUUGUGAUCCCGUGGUUAAUUUCAAAUAAAAUUAGCCGCUAAAAUUGUAAUGGCGCGUAUGGCACUCCUCUCCGCUGAAUCACCCAAACGCAGAGCGUGGAGAACAAAAGCGCGUGUAGGCGGUGCGUUUCCUUAACAUUUAACGCAAUCAAGAACUCUGAAAUUCCAUUGGUCAGUUUGCGUGGGAACAGGUCAUACCGCCACGUGUACCUAACGGCCUUAUAAACCCAAGAAGAAUCUAGAUUCGUUUGGAACCCGCGAAGCACCUUUAUAAGCCCCCCCCAUUUCAAUCUCCUCCUCCUCCCUCCGUCGCUCUCAGCCGAAAAAUCCAACAAAUCGCGAAGCUCGCAGCCGAAAAAUCUUUGUAAAAUUUCGGAUUCCGAAAUGGAGAACCGGUUUACAGUUUGGAUCUUGGUGUCAUUGCUGCUCUUCUUCCUCUUAACCAUGGAAGCGAAAACGAUAGACCCUUACAAGGUACGGUUUCCGAAGUCUACAAAUUCUUCAUUUUCUUUGUAAUUUGAAACUUUUCCUCAUUUUCCCGUCCAAUGUGAAUGAAUUGAAUGUAAAUCAGAUUUAAUUACGAAAAGUCCCUAUGGAUUUUGAAAUUGGAAGGAAAGGAAAAUUUGACGAAAUUGGGAUGAAACGGUGCAAAAGGAGUAGAAUUUGAAAUUGGUUUUUAGUUUUAGCAGAUGUUAGGGUUUGUACUUAUUUACCCAUUUUUUCUGAAAUUGGUUUAAAAUUGUUAGCAGGUACUUGGAGUGGAGCGGAAUGCAAGUCAGCGUGAAAUUCAGAAAGCGUUCCACAAGUAUGUUCUGGCAACUCUAUGUAUAAUGUACUUCAUUAUUUGUGCUAAACCAAACCACUGAGAAAGUGAGAUGAUAUUUUGUUUUUUUGGGGGUUUUGGGUGGGUAUCGAAAGUAUUAAUAAUCAGGGCUCGUCUGGGAUUGCUUCCGGAGGAAGUGCUUUGAUUAGAAGCACUUUGACAUUUUCAUUAAAAGUCAGUUCUUAGGCUUAAAAGUCCAAGUGCUUCCUGGAGAAGCAUUCGGUUGGUGCUUCUAGGACCUAGGAGCACUUGUAGCUUUUUCUGUCAAACAGAUUACUUUAGGAGUACUGUUGAUUUUCAGAAAGCGCUUUUAGCUCUUCAGAUUGCGAUCCAUAAUUGGCCCUUAUUGUGGCUUCCUAGCUCAUUUACCAUUUGUGAUAAGUGGGCAUAUAUCAUUUAGGAUGGUGGUCUCUGCGAAGUUCUGUUAUUGGUUUGGGACGAGUUGGGGUUGGCUCAAGUGACAAACUAUAAUUCAUCAGGCCUAACUUUGGCACUGUGGUCCAGUUUUCAUCUGUGGUCUUGUUUGAAUAAAUGGUUAAUCGUUCUUAGCCAUGAAGGCGCAUUAAUGGUGAUUUUGGGCAAUCAAAAGUAGUGGUAGUGAAGCUAUUGAGCUGUUGUAGGACUUAAGCUUAAAGACUGACUUUUAUUGCAGCAUUUUGGACUUGUCCUUGUGAGUAAGCAGUGUUUGUUUCCUUUUGUCUAAUUUGAUACUAGGAGACUAACAUAUGUUUCUCCUCAUGCUAUUAAAACGAUUAAGAGUUUAUCCUUGUAAGUUAGGGUUGCUUUUGCUUAAGGGCAUUUUCAUUUAUUCACAUUACGUAAGGUCCUGUUCUGAGACAUAUAAUUGGCUCUCCAGUAGUGCCUGUCUAUGUGUUUGUGCGUGUGCUUGUGCAUUCACAAUGUAAAUGCUAGUGUGACAUACUUUUUACCUUACUCAUGCUAAUGUGAAUAAUGCGCUAUAGGCUCUCUCUUCAAUAUCACCCAGACAAGAAUAAAAGCAAGGGAGCUCAGGCAAAGUUUGCUGAGAUAAACAAUGGUAUGACUUCUGCCUUCUCUAGUUUUUCUUCAUUUUUUUAUUCCUUUCCUGUUUCCUUUUAGGUUGAAGCUACUUCAAUUCCUAAAUACCUAUCUUGUUGUAGUAGCCACAUCCACAAAGUUUGUACUUAAUGUCGGUUAAUUUCUUCUUCUUUGAUUAGCGUAUGAAAUUUUAUCUGAUGAAGAGAAGAGGAAAAAUUAUGAUACAUAUGGAGAUGAGAAGGGAAAUCCUGGAUUUGGAGGUGGUUCUCCCGGAGAUCAUGGUGGAUAUACCUACUUUACAAAUGGUGGACCAGGACAGAACCACUUUACCUAUGGCCCUGGUGACUGGCAGAGCAUGGGUGGGCAGGGAGGUUCCAAGUCAUUCUCCUUUUCCUUUGGAGGUCCCAGUGGUCCAAGUUCAUUUGGUUUUGGCAUGGAAGACAUCUUCUCAAACUUUUUUGGGGGUAAACCUGGAGGUGGGGGUCAGUUUGAUGGUUUCAGUGGUUCAACUGGGUCUCAACCUGGUUCUCGGCCUGGGUCUAAGACAUCUCCAGUGACCAUUACGACCGUCAGUUCACAGGUGUAUAAGAAAGAAAUAGUUGACCGAGGGAUGACUUGGCUACUGUUAUCUUACACUCCUUCAUUGAAGGGGAAGCAACACGUUGAAAAUAUCAUAGAGGAAGUUGCGAGUUCCCUGCAGGGAGCCUUAAAGGUAUUUUCAGAUUCUUAUUCAUUCCUUACAAUAUGGCUGCUUUUGAUCUCCAGAUAUACUCAUUCUUUCCUUUUAUUCUGUCAGGCCGGAAGCAUAAACUGUGAGACAGAACCCUCUCUCUGUAAGGACCUUGGCAUGUAUCCCAGCAGAAUGCCCAGGAUAUUUGUGUACAAAGUGAGGGGAAAGGGUUCUUUGGUUGAGUAUGAUGGGGAUUGGGCUGCAAAACCUCUGAAGACAUUUUGCCAAGACAAUCUGCCAAGGUUUUCGAAACGGGUUGAUUUGAACCGCGUUGAGUCUUCCACUUUCACAACCAAUAAAUUACCUAGUUUGGUGCUUCUUUCCACCAAGAAAGAUACACCUGUUAUCUGGCGUGUCCUUAGCGGAUUGCAUCACAAUCACUUCAUUUUCUAUGACGCAGAGGUAUAUGGUGAUUUUUGUUGGCUAAAUCUACUCAAUUUUCCUUUUCUGAACCUUUUCGAUAUAUGAAGAAUGUGUCUUUACCAAUUUCUUGACAUUCAACCUGAAAAUCCGUUCGAGAGUACGAGGGCAAUAUAUGUGUGUGUGUGUGUAUGAAAAGGGUAGGGUGUAAUGACGACCCUGGUACUUCUAUGACAAAGUGAAUCAUAUACUUUUCAGUUUCAGGGAAAAGAUGCUAUGGUUGUUUUCAUUCACCUUACGUUUUCUUCAUUGAUAAAUAUCUGGCAUUUUUGUAUUAAAAAAGUCAUUUCACAACGAUAAUGCAGGUCCAUGAUGCUUCUGAUCCAACAGUGAAGAAGCUGGGAGUUGGUGCACUUCCAGCUAUAGUUGGUUGGCUUCCGAACGGGGAGAAGCAUGUCUUAAAAGCAGGCAUUACCACCAAAGAUAUGAAGUCGGCGAUUAAGGAGCUUAGUGCUUUACUUGAAGGCUUCGAGAAAAAGAGCAAGAAAGCAGCUUCAAGUCAGGCCAAGAAAUCACCGACUGAUGCGGGGGAGAAUCAGAUACCCCUAUUGACAGAGUCUAAUUUUGAUGCUCUUUGUGGUGAGAAAACUCCAGUUUGCAUCAUUGGUGCAUUCAGAUCUUCCAAGGAAAGAAAUAAGUUGGAAUCAAUUUUGACCGCGGUGAGUAUACUUUCUCUUGUAUAGACUCACCACUACUGUAUAGAACAUCUGGUUUCUCACAUGACAAUGAUAUUCUUAUGGAAGUUGAAAGAUUAACAUUCUGAAUUUUCUAUAUUUUCGUUUUCAGGUCUCUAGGAAAUCGCUAUCAAGGCGACAGAAUUCAGCUCAUGGCAAGGAUUCUGUUUCCUACACUCUCUUGGAUGCCACCAAGCAGGCUACCUUCUUAAAUGCGUUUGAGAAAGCAGGAUUCAAAUCAUCGGAUAAGCUCUUGGUUGCCUACAAACCUCGGAGGGGGACAUUUGCAUCAUUUAAUGGUGAAAUGACUACAGAAGAAGUGGAGAGGUUCAUUAGUUCUGUUCUUAACGGGGACAUACAUUUUUCCAAAACACGGCAGAAACCCGUGCUCGGGUGAGAGGAAAGUCCGGAUCACGUAGUUCCUGGCUUUCGUGUACAUAGCUUCACUACUUUGACUAUAGAAAAGAUAAACAGUUUUUCGGCUACAAUUAAGAAGGAGAAUGUGAGUUUUGGCCCUGGUCGUGACAUCGGGUCACCAUACAUACUUGGAGGAGCAUCCAUUUUUUCGUAGUCUACAAGAAGUGUUCCUCCUCGAACCCUAGGAAAGUGGUUUUGUCUUUGUAAUGCCAUGGUAAACGUUUCAUACCAUUUCGUUGUAUGAAUCGUGUUAUGUAUUUUUCUUUACUUGGUGUAAAAAUUAGAGGCCAAUUUUUUCUCUGGAAAUAAGAUGGAUGAGAUUUGAAAUUUUAGUUCUUGCUUUAUCACUUGCUACGUUUGUCUUGCUGAUUUCUUUGCUUCAACUCGAUUUCAUUUGUUAUACUGUAGCAAGUGGCGGUGAUGGUUAGGGACUUCAUCGUCCCGGGUUCAAACUUCCCCCACCUCUCAAUGUGGAGAUUGAUGUAGAAUGGAAGAUUUGGCAGAAUACUCUUUUUGAAGGCCCAAGAGCAUCUUCAAAAAGAGAUGUCAAAAUAUUAAGUGAAAUGUCAUUGUGUAUAUUCAACUGAAGCGUUAUCCAACCAAAAUGCCAUAAGAGAUGUCAAAAAGUCCACAUCACUAAUAACGGUAAAAAAAAGACAUCACUAGUGUUAUCCAACCAAAAUGCCAAUUCUUAUGUGGUAUUACAUGGAAUGGCAAUAGAGGGAAGUUGCUGUCAAAUUUGAUAGCAGCUUCAAAUCUAUUUUUAGUGGAUAAUAAAUGCUUUUUAUAAUUUUUGUUAUUAUCUUUUGUUUUGAAAAUACUAAAUACAAUUAUGAAAAGUAAAUAAUGCAAUUAAUAAUAGUUUAAAUUUGAUAUAUCGACAACAAAAUUUACUAAAAAGAUCAAUGUGCCAAAUAAACAUUCAAACUUAAAUUUUUUGUUUAAAACUUGACAUUUCUUUUGAAGAUGAUCUAAGGUUUUAGAUUGCCACAUAAACAAUCAAUUUUAAUUAAACUACUAUAAUUUGACAUUUUCUUUGUAGAUGGUCUAAAAAGACUUCUAACUUUGUUUUUAUUUUUAUUUUUUAUUUUUGCCUCUUUUUACAUGUAAAAAGACUAAUGAGUGCAUUUUUGCUCACCACUGUUUAGUGUGGUAUAUGCUCACCACCCUAUUUAUCACCGUUAGAUGAGUUUGAAUAUUGAGAUUUGUGCUUAUCCAUUACACGAAUCUCGAAAUUUAAACUCAUCUAACGAUGAUAACUAGGGUGGUGAGCAUACACCACACUAAAUGACUAAUUAACCCAAUGGUUUUAAUUCUUUGUCCCUUCUCCCUCGAAACAAACGUGGACAAUAACCACGUUCCUGGCAUGUGUAAUGAUUUGUAUGAAUUUGUAAUGCGCCGAUGUUGUGUGUAUAACACAAUCUUAAACAGAAAGUGUUAAACAUAGCUCUAUUAAGAAUUAUAGCCUUGUAAGAUAGUUUUUUUUAUUAAACAGUGUCAGACUAUUUGUAUAUACCGUCUUCAACCGAAGGAGUUAAACAACUCCUAAAUAAUUUAUUAUUUUAAAUUUAAUAGUUAAUUUAACUAAACUACUACUUACAAUAAUAAAAUAAGGUGAUCCAUACAUUUUUUUUAAGUUACACGUGUUGCUAAAUGGUAAGCCUCCAAAUUUCUUAACUUUAUGUAAUCUCAAUACUGUUUUAAUAGAAUUUUGAGAGAUUCGUAAAUGAGUAAGUCUCUAAAUUUUUUACUAUUUAAUUUUAAAAACUUUUUAGAUAUGAUUUUCGAGUGACAUGUGUCGAGAUGUAAUUGAUUAUGCAAAUUUUCGAUAAGAUUCUUGUCAAUGUGGCACAUCUUUAUCUUUAGUUUCCAAUGUUAAUAAAUUGACUGGUUAUUGAUGUAGAAUUUUCACACGUUCAUCUUUCUCUCUUGAAAAUCUAUUUUGUUCAAGGAAGAACAACUCUCAUGGUUUCUUGGGUUUGGCGAAGAGGUGCAUUCGUAAAACUUGUAGUAUUUUUUAGAUGUAUGAGUCCAAAAACUUUCACUUGUUUGACUAACACUCUUGAUACGAUAUUUAGAGAUCAUCUAUAAGCUUUGCAAAGAGCUUCAAAUUUGACGGUUGAAUCCAAUGGCAAAUUGUAGCAUCUGCUGCUGGGCCCCAGCAAAUGGGCUGGGUAUUAAGCCAAGUUUGGCCAGCUAAAUGCCCUUUUGAUCAUGUUUUGGCCUAGUGGGCUCCGUUGAUUUUUAGCCCAGCUUUUGAUUGGAGUUGAGUUUUGUCCAAAUGAAGCCAUUUUUUGAGAGAUUUUUCAGCAUGCGGGGAAUACGGUCUUGUACGUCAAGUGUCAUAAUGCAAACACAUAUAUCAUAACACUUGGUGUAUCAGAUAGUGUUAUCGGCACACUAAAAAAUUUCUUUAUUUUUUUAACCCUUUAGCCUUUUAGUCUUCUAACUAUUAAGAAAUUUGGCAAGGCGGGUGGCAUGGUUCACCGACCAAAUUUAUUUUUAGCGUCUAAAUAAUAAGGUACUAAAUAAAAUAUGGAAACUAAAUCAUAGGGUAACUGAUCACACAAAACCUAUGACUAUUGUUACAAAUCAACGUAUUAGCCAAAUUUCCAGACGUGAGUCAGCUUAUAGCUGGGAUGACUGCAAAGUAUGUCCACCCACCAAUCUCUGAACCAUCAAUCAAAAUGCAUAGCUAAUUAGCAAAACUAACUCAAAACAGCUAGUUAAUCACUGCAUCAUGAUGUUUUCCUUUUGCAUGUAAAGAGUUCGAACCAGUAUAUGAUGUAAACCGACCCUUCGUUAAUCUUUUACAUCAUAAUUAACCGCAUUUGUGUAAACUUUACCUGAAUACUUUAUGUCCACAACUUUAGGAUUUGGAUCAACGUAGUGGAAACAAUAUUUGUAUUAUUAACUAAAAAAUUGUGUGUCCAAGUGGUGAAUUGGUUUGUUAGUCAGUCUUUUUUUUAACGCACUGCGUCAUGAGUUCAAACUUCCAAUCCCCAUCUUAUUAGUGUAAAAUAUCCGUUCUUCUAAAAAAGAAACCCAACAUUUUGUGUGUAUAUAUAUAAUCCCCCUCUUCCGUUUUGUCUCAAAACAAUUUUCUUAACUAAAUACUACUACAUUAUUUUUUGAGUCGGGGCUCACUAACAUUGGCUGUUGCAACGAGCUCAACACCGGCUAUGCCACCGAUGGCUAUGCGCGCUCAUGAGGCAUGGGCGCGUGUGCUGUUACUUUCACUGUGGCUGGACAGAGUGUUCUAAAUGCGAUUGCUGGAGCCUGCAGUGAUGAUUUGCCUGUGAUUUGUAUGGUUGGAGCCUUGGAGGCCCCAACUCCAAUGACUAUGGAGCUCAUAAUAGGAUUCUUCACCAUACUAUUGGGUUGCCUGAUUUUAGCCAAGAGUUUAGGUGCUUUCAGAAAGUCACUUGUUAUUAGGUAAUUAGCACAUAUUUGAAAGUACUUUUAAAAUUAUUAAAAACGCUUUGACAAAAAUAUGUACUUGAAAUAUCAGCAACUUUGCUAAGAAGAUUCUUUGAAAAACUAGGCAUUUAAAAAAAAAUGUAUUUGUUUAAAAUAAUUCUUUAUCUUUAUUUUCAAUAAAAAGUAAACAUAUGUAUAGAAUACAUGAAUUUAAUGUGUAUUAUUGAAAAAUGUGUCAAAAUAACGUGUAUUAAACGUACAAAUAUGCAUUUAUGGUAUAAUACGUGUAUUAUAUGUUGGAGUUUAAAACAAAUGUGCAAUUUAACUAAUAAUUAAAACAUGUACGAAAAACGAAAGUAUUUUUAGAAAAUACAUACGUAUGUAUAUAAUAUACGUAUGAUAUGCGAAUUUACUGACUGUCAAGUUUAAACGUGUUUUUUCAAAGAGCACUUCAGAUUUUAUCAAGAACUUUUAUGCACUUCUACGAAAAACGUUUAUAAUGCCUUUUUAACUGUUUUUCAAACAACUCUUAACCAUGACAUAAGUUUAAACCAGAGACUGACAUGAUCAAAUUAAUAACUUAAUUUAGACUUUAAAAUUGAGCAUAUAUAUAUAUAUAUAUAUGCAAAUUUCACAUCUUUUCUUAUUCGGAGAGGGAAACGAUUUGAACUUGGGACAUUUUCUUAUAUGUAUUUUUGUACCGGAAAAAGGAAAAAAAAUGUAUACAUCUACAAAAUUGUGAACGGUCUAAAUGUGUGAGAGUCUAACGCUAUGCGGUUGGUGCAUACAAGUUUUUCUUUCUCCUUUGCUUUUGUAAAUAAAAACUUUAUUUUUUUUUUGUGCAAGUACCCUUUUACCAUAGUGGUAGAAAGAUGUUGAGCUCUUGCACCACGAAGUGGGUUCAAACCUCGUCGUUAGCUAAUUUAACAUAUAAUCUAACAAAACUUAUCGUUUGACCAAAAAAAUAAAAACUUUUUUUUCUCUCCAAGGUUUGCUAAUUUUGGUACGUUGGGUUUAAUUGGUAGGCUGUGAUAAAUAAUAUAGAAGAUGCACCUGAAUUGAUCAACAAGGCAAUUUCAACAGCUUGGGAAGAAACGAAAGCAAGCAUGUUUACAUCAGCAUAAGUUGCAACUUGGUUGGAAUUCCUCAUCUAGCUUUUAUCGUGAGCCUAUUCCAAUUUCAUUGCCUCCAAAGGUAAUUUUGGCCUGCAUUAUAUUAGCAGUUAAUUAGAGCUGCGAUUCUUUCUCAUUUAGGACUACUUUCGUUAUAAGCGAUUGUGUUAGAAGUGUUUUAUUAUAACCAUGUUGGAUUUUUUAUUUCUUAAAACUCCAAGUUCUUAAUGAAAAAUCACCUGGAAGUGCUUCUACGACCUAGAAGCACUUUUAAGUUUUUCUGCAAAACGUGGCCUGCAGCACUUUUGUUUGUCAAAAAAACAUACUUUUAACCCUUAUUACAUUGUUUGUUUGUUCUGUGAUACAGGUUGAGUAAUCAAAUAGCCUUAGAGGCAGCAGUGGAACCAGCAGCGGACCAGGCAGUGAACCGGUUAUGAUAGACGGGCUAAAACUUCGAUCUGCAGAUGCAGCUGAUGCCUUUGUUAAGCUAGCCGAUGCUUGUGGUUAUGCCCUUGCUAUGUUGCCUUCGGCAAAGGGAAUUUUGCCGAAACACCACCCGCAUUUCGUGGGGACAUACUGGGUGGCCAUAAACACUGCAUUUUGUGUUGGGAUUGUGGAGAUAGCAGAUGCAUACGUAUUUGCCGGCCCAAUUUUCAAUGACUACACCGCUCUAGAUACUCAACCCUAAUCAACCAAGAGAAGGCGAUUAUUGUGCAACCCGAUCAUGUGAUCAUAGGGAAUGGCCCUACAUUCGGUAGUGUAUUGCUUAAGAAUUUCCUCAAAACUCUAGUGAAGUGGCUCAAGCGCAACACAAUUGCUUAUGAGAACUACGUACAGCAGGAUACUUGUGCCCGAUGGGAAGCGUGUGAAAUGUGGACCAAAAGAACAUUUGGGGGGUUAAUGUUAUGCAACAUGUACAAAACAUGUUGUCAAGGAAAAUAACUGUGAUUGCUGAGACUGGGAACUCACGGUUGAACUGUCAAAAACUGAAAUUGCCGCCGGGUUGCCAAUAAGCCAGGGGAAAGUCUUGUGUUUGGUGUUUUUAGGGUUUGGUUUAUGGGUUGAACUGAAAAAUUUGAUGAUGGGUUUGCAAGUAUGAGUUUCAAAUGCAAUAUGGAUCAAUUGGUUGGUCUCUUGGGUAUGCUCAAGCUGUUCCUACAAAGCGAGUGCUUGCUUUCAUUGGUGAUAGCAGCUUUCAGGUAGGUUUAAUAAAUUUGCUCCCUUUCCUCUAGCGCUCAUUAGCAUGCUCCUAAACAAACAAUAAGCGGGUAUAUAUAAUACGAUUAAAAACAUUUCUAUUGUCUGCUUAGUGUUUGUUUAGGAGCGUGCAAAUAAGUGCUAGAAAGGUAUUUAAUCAUAUUAUAUACACUAACUUAUUGUCUGUUUAGGUGCGUGCAAAUAAGUGUUAGAGGAAAGGGAGCAAAUUAUUAAACCUACCUGAAAGCUGCCGUAAGCAAUGAAAGCAACGCAUUAUAGGAACAGCCUGAGCAUACCCAAGAGUUCCUCCAAUUGACCAACCAAUUAAUCCAUAUUGCAAUUGAAACUUAUACCUGCAAACCCAUCAUCAAAAUUUUCAUUUCGACUCAUAAACCAAACCCUAAAAACAACAUCAAACACAAGACUCUUCACCUGGCUUAUUGGCAAUCCAGAGGAAAUUUCAGUUUUUGACAGUUAAACCUGAUAAAGUUUGUUUGUUUGGAUGAUUUUGGUUAUAGUUUGAAUCGGUUUCUUAGCAGAGAAUGGAGAGGACAUGGAGAUGUGAUUGACUGCUUGAGUGGAUGUGUAAAAUGCAGCAGCUCAGAUUUCAUUAAGUAAGGGAAAAUGUAGUAGGGUAUGGUGCAUUGCCAUGACCCAUACUUGUGUAAAAAGGUGAUUGACAAGAGGCUUAACAACCAUUUUAACUUCACUACCCCAGAUUGAAUCCUAACCCUUCAUUUGGGGUUUUAAAUGAUCUAAUUUGGAGUGUACACUUGUCACUCACACACUCACACAUUCAUUUAAACAAAAAACUAGCCAUUUGAGGCUUUAACCCUUUCUUCUUCUUUCCUCUUUGAUGCAGACCGAAACCAUGCUCGGGAGCUUCUUGCUGCCUUCGAUCCUUCGACUUUAGAAGCUGUUUAGCUUCCAACACUCCCUUCUAAACUGCUUCUGGGAGUCAUUCCAAGCAAUCCCCUUAGGUAAUUGAAUCUCUCAUUCGGUAAUGCUUUUGUGAAAAUGUCUGCAAUAUGAUCUUCUGUGCUGCAAUAGAUUAAUUUGAUUGUGUUGUCCCGCAAUGCUUCUCUGACGAAAUGAUAUCUUCUUUUGAUGUGCUUUGUUCUCUGAUGAAAUACUAGGUUUUUGGUCAUGGCGAUUGCAGAGGUGUUGUCACACAGUAAUGGUGUGGCAUCAACCUGCAGCUCCCCGAAGUCGUUAAGUAUGAACCUUAGCUAAAUAACUUGAGCUGUAGCUUCUGAUGCACUCACAUACUCUGCCUCGGCUGUGUACAAUGUAACACUUUGUUGCUUCACCGAGGCCCAUGAGAAAACCCCUGAACCAAAGGUGAAAGCAUAGUUCGAUGUGCUUCUUCUAUCAUCUUCACUGCCAUCCCAGUCACUGUCACAAAAUCCAAUUAGGAUAGUUGACUUCCCCAUUUCAUACUUGAUGCCAUAGUCAAGUGUUCCUUGCACAUAUCUUAGAACUCUCUUUGCUUUCCCCAUGUGUAUCUUGCUAGGAUUCUGCAUAAACCUAGAAAGUAGGUUUGCUGAGAACAUUAGAUCCGGCCUUGUUGCUGUUAGGUACAAUAGAUUGCCAACAAUGCUUUUGAAGAGAUUAGCAUCUGCAGGUUCACCUCCAUCAUCCUUCUUAAGUUUCUCAUUUGCAAUUAGGGGUGUAGAGACUGGUUUGCAACCCUUCAAACCAAACCUUUCAAGUAAGGUUUCAGCAUACUUCCUUUGAUGAAUGAAGAUGCUAUUUGCCUCUUGUAUUACCCUAAUGCCAAGAAAAUGAUGCAAGAGGCCUAGGUCAGUCAUUUCAUACCUCUUCAUCAUCUCUUCCUUGAAUUCUUUAAUCAUUGCAGCAUCAUUUCCAGUGUAGACAACAUCAUCCAUAUAGAUUGAGACAAUGAGUGUCUUGUUGUUUUCUAUCUUGGUGUAGUGUGUAGCUUCACUAGGACUUUUAUGAAAUCCUUUCUCAGUGAAAUAAGAAUCAAUCUCACUGUACCAAGCUCUUGGAGCUUACUUUAGGCUGUAGAGAGCCUUCCUUAACUUGUACACCUUUUCUGGAAACUCUUGACUUGUGAACCCUUGAGGUUGUUAAACAAACACCUCGUCCUCUAGCACUCCAUUUAGAAAUGCAGAUUUGACGUCUAAUUGGUGCAACUUCCAACCUUUUUUGGCUGCUAGAGCUAUCAAGGUCUUUAUGGUGUCUAACCUUGCUACUAGAGCAAAGGUUUCAUUGAAGUCUACACCAGGCUUCUAUGAGUAGCCUUUAGCUACCAAUCUUGCUUUGUUCUUCUGCACAAAACCAUCUAGGUUGAGCUUGACUUUGUACACCCAUUUCACACCAAUCACAGGCUUGUCACUUGGUCAGUUUACAAUUUCCCAAGUGUCAUUCUUUUCUAUCAUUUCAAGCUCUUCCUUCAUUGCUUUCUUCCAAACCUUGUCUUUCUCAGCUUUUUCAUAUGUUUCUGGUUCUACUACACAGUAGUUACAUGUAGCAUAGAUCUCAUCCAAGCUUUUCAACCUCACUGGAGUUGAAUUUGGAGUUGUUAUCUGUGAUUGAGUUGGUUGUGGACUCAUGCUUGCUUGUUGUGAAGUUUCUUGUAUGUCAUUAUUCUUUGUGACUUCUUCUUGAAUUGAGGUCUCCAUAGGUUCCCUUGUUUGCCUUUUGUUGAGAUCAAGUUGUAGAGAGACACUAUCUUUCUCUUCUACACUUGUUUCCCAAUUCCAUGUUGAGUCUUCAUCAAAGAUAACAUCUCUUGAAAGGAUUAUCUUCUGAGUUGAUAGAUUGUAAACUCUGUACCCUUUCUCACUGGUACCAUAACCUACAAAAACACCCUUAUUGCUUGAAUUCUCCAACUUGUGUCUUAGUUGUUGAGGAAUGUGGGUGUAGCACACUGAGCCAAACACUCUCAGAUGCUUUACAGAAGGUUUCCUUCCAUUGAACAAUUCAAAUAGAGUCUUCUUAUCCAGUGCUUUAGUAGGGCACCUAUUCAAUAGGUACAUUGAGGUGUUCACAGCUUCACCCCAAAAUGUAUAGGGCAUGUUCUUCUCAUGCAACUUAGACAUAGCCAUUUCAACUAUAGUCCUAUUCUUCCUUUCUGCAAUAUUAUUCUGUUGUGGUGAAUAUGCCACUGUGGGUUGCUUCUCCGAUCCCACAUCUUCACAAAAUGCAUUGAACUCAUGUGAGGUGUACUCACCUCCCCUAUCACUUCUUCGCCUUUUGAUUUGGUAUCCACUUUGCAAUUCCACCAUUACCUUGAACUUCUUGAAUAUUGUGAAUACCUCAGACUUAAACCUCAUGAAAUACACCCAACACAUCUGUGAGUAGUCAUCAAUGAAGGUUAGGAAAUACCUGUUUCCACUUACUGUUGUUGUUUGCAUUGGUCUACACACAUCGUGUGAAUAAAUUCGAGUGGCUUUGUUGCCCUCCAAGCCUUUCCAGCUUCAAAUGGAUCUUUGUGAUGUUUUCCAAACACACACCCUUUACAGGUUUCACUGCAUUGAUCCAUCUUUGGUAUCCUUUGCACAAUUUCAUGCUUUUGUAGAUUUUCUAGACUUGUCAUGUUUAAGUGACCAAGCCUUUUAUGCUAUAGCUUCAUAGAACCUGUCACACUUACUUUCCUUGUCACUUCCUCUAGGUACUUCAACAUAAGUAGAAAGCUUAUGUUUUUCACUUCCACUCUAGUCACUAGAUUUGAUAGGGACAUGUCAUCAUAGAUCUCGACCACAGUUCCCUCAAAGAGUAGGAAAUAGCCAUGCUUUAUCAUUUGACCCACGCUAAGUAGAUUCUCAUCCAAUCCAGGCACUGACAUCACUUCCCUUAUGCAUCUGCUUCCUUUCUUGGUGUUAAUGACCAGAGUUCCUCUUCCGGUGGCUUUGACAAAGUUUCCAUUUCCCAUUUUCACUUUUCCAGUGAAGUUUGUGUCAAGGUCAAUGAGUAAUGACUCAUGUGCAGUCAUAUGGUUGCUGCAACCACGGUCAAUGUACCUACUUCAUUGUUUUUCUCCACUUUUGCACUGAAAGCACAAAACACAUUUGCUUAUUUUUCCACUUGAUUUGCACAGUUCACUUGUUGCACAUUCUUUGAUCUGCAAUCCCUCAUGAUGUGCCCGAACUUGUUACAUUUAUGACAUUUAGGCUUGUCCUUGAACCAACACUCCCCAAGAUGAAAUUUGUCACAGUGAUUGCAUUAUUGCUUGGUUCUUGGACCUUCAUUUGAGUUGCAACCUUGGUUAGGUCUAGGGUUUUGAUACCCAUUUCCUUCCCAUUUCUUGUUCUUGCCCCUUCCACUGUGGUUUCUGUUUGCUUGCAUUGGCUUGACUACUAGAUCCAAUAGAAAGUGAUUGAAAUGCUUUCUAAGUGGCAGAAUCUGCAUGCCUCUCGAGCCUUUGGUCAAAAGCUCUUAAGAAUGCUAUCACAUCUUGCACACUAAGAAUUUCAAUGUCUAUGGUUUCUUCAAUAACACUCACUAUUAAAUCAUAAGGUUUAGUCAAACCGAUUAACAGUUUUUAGACAACUCUCUCAUUCGGUAGUUCAUCACCAUGUGUUUUCAUCUUAUUUACAACAUCAAAUAGCCUAGUAAAGUAAUCUUUCAACAGCUCAUUUUCCCUCAUUCUGGUAUACUCGAAAUCUCUCCUAAAUGAUUGAAGUUUUACCUUUCUGACUUUGGUGUCUCCUCUGUACUCUUGCUGUAAAACUUCCCAAGCUCCCUUUGCAGUUUCUUCAUUUGCUAUCUUCAGGAAAAUGGUGUCUGAGACAGCACCUUGGAUGAUUCCAAGUGCUCUAGCAUCCUCCAUCCGGUUCUGCUUCAGUGGUUUGAGCUGUGUUUCUGUGAGGUCCUCCUUUAGAGCAUCGACCUCAAUCUCAGGUAGUUUAUACCCGUGUUGAACCAUAUCCCAUUAUCACAGGACUUGAAAAUGGUUGUCAUUCUUAUUCUCCAAAAAUCAUAGUUCUCUCCAUCAAAGACUGGAGCUUUUAGCUCACCGCUACUGCUUGAUCCCUUCAUUUGCAGGGUUGUUUAUUGGUUGUUGUUGUUGAGGACACUACGUAGGUGCUCUUAAAGAUCUCAACUUGUACAGAUUACGCCCAGAAAGUUGUAAGAUCAGAAACUGAGCUCUGAGGCCAUGAUAAAGUUUGUUUGUUUGGAUGAUUUUGGUUAUAGUUUGCAUUAGUUUCUUAGCAGAGAAUGGAGAGGACUUAAAGAUGUGAUUGACUGCUUGAUUGGCUGUGUAAAAUGCAGCAGCUCAGAUUUCAUUAAGUAAAGGAAACUGUAGAAGGGUAUGGUGCAUUGCCAAGACCCAUACUUGUGUAAAAAUGUGAUUGACAAGAGGCUUAACAACCAUUUUAACUUUACUACCCCAGAUUGAAUCCUAGCCCUUCAUUUGGGUUUUAAAUGAUCUAAUAUGGAGUGUACACUUAUCACUCACACAUUCACACAUUCAUUUAAACAAAAAACUAGCCGUUUGAGGCUUUAACCAUUUCUUCUUCUUUCCUCUUUGAUGCAGACUGAAACCAUGCUCGGGAGCUCCUUGCUGCCUUCGAUCCUUCGACUUUAGAAGCUGUUUAGCUUCCAACAAAACCAUGAGUCCCCAGUCUCAGCGAUCACAAUUGUUUUCCUCGACAACAUGUUUUGUACAUGUUAGAACAGAACAUUAACCCCUAAAGGUUCGUUUGAUCCACAUUUCACAGGCUUCCCAUCAGACACAAAUAUCCUGAUGUACGUAGAUCUCAUAAGCAGUUGUGUUGCGCUUGAGCUGCUUCACUAGAGUUUUGAGGAAAUCCUUAAGCAAUACACUACCGAAUGCAGGGCCAUUUCCUAUGAUCACAUGGUCGGGUUUCACAAUAAUCGCCUUCUCUUUGUUGAUUAGAGAGGAGCGUCAUUUUUCUAGUGAACAAUGAUGGAUGCACAAUUAAGGUUGAGAUACAUGAUAAACCUUACAAUGUGAUAAAAAAAAUGGAACUACAUUGGACUUGUACAUGCCAUCCACAAUGAGGAAGGCAAACGCUGGACAAACCAAGGUGAUUAUUGAGUUAAUAAUUUGACCAAUACUAAUUAUGUAGGGUUGUGUUUGACAAAACAUAAUGGCACCCUUUUGAUUUUCUUUCCCUCUUUUCUUGUAGUUUGUUGUGAAGAGGAGUUGAUUGAAGCAAUUGAGAUUGCAAAUAGUGAUAAGAAGAAUUGGUUGUGCUUCAUUGAGGUGAUUGUUCACAGGGAAGAUUGUUGCAAAGAGCUGCUUCAAUUCGGCUCUAGGGUUGCCGCAGCUGGUGGCCGUCCGCUCAAGACCUAAAGUAGCUUAGUUUGGUUUCUUUAACACUGUGAACAUGUUUUACGUGAUCAAAAAGUUUGUAAUUUCAUUGUCAUAUUUUCUUUGGAAAAAUUGCACAGUCAAUUCCACUCCAGCUAUGCUAUUAUAUAUAAAAAGUCGCUAUGAGGUGAAUUUAUUAUAUUAAUAGGAAAAAAAAAUACAAUAUGUUAAAGAAGACACAGGUUAAAAGUCAAACCCUGAUUGUCAAAUAAGUCAUAGGUUAAGUGUAACAACCCGUCCCAAUUCAUUUUACGAAAUUUGGAACGAGAGUAUUUUGGUAAAUUAAUUGGUUUUGGCUAGAUAUUUUAUUUUUGUUUUUGGUCUUGUUUGGUGUGCCCAAGGGGCCCACCCUUGAUUUUGUCCCCCGGCCCAAAACACUUCACCCCUCUCUCUCUAUCUCUCAUUCUCUCCCUCACUUAUCUCAUUCUCUCUGUGCUCUUCCCCGAGCUCUCGCUUUGUCACAGCUCACUCUCUCCAUCUCUCUCCCUCGCUGCAUCCUUCUCCCC
rnacentral:lncRNA from 1 species